CUAACAUAGCUGCUUUGAGUCUUUUGUUAUCCAGUCGUCCUAUUACGUGAAACAUAUCUUGGGAUGCUAUGUUCUUCUCAUCUAGAUCUUUGUUAUAGUCUGUAAGGACAACAACACAUGUGUCAUUAAGAUUGUCUAUGAAUGCUUGACAGUCAUGCAUGCUAUAAUUUAGAGUUUGGAUCAUGAGUUUUACCUGUUCGACGAUGCUUAGAGUCCCAUCCUUUGCCAUGUAGCAAUAGUUCUUUUCCAGCUUUGUAGAUCCAUCAUCAUCCGCAGUUGCCAGCAUGCAAAUCUUGCCUUUACCUUUGACGUUGCUGACGUUUUCAUCUUCAUCUCCUGAUGACCAAACUUGAUGGUCCCUCUUUACAUGGGCUACGUGUGCCCUUGCUUUUUUCCUUUUCUUCCAAUUCUUGAGCCAUUCUAAGGUAGAAUGCUCUAUCUUUCACUAUGUUAGUUUUGCAGUCUUUUGUGAAGUGAUUCUCCUUGUUGCACUUGUGACAGAUUACAACAUCAUUCUUAUCUUCUGACGAGGUACCAGAGUCAGUUGGAUUGAUGGGCUUUGGUGCCUCUUUAGGUUGAGUGGUCUGAGGUUGCAGUGUUGGGUUAGGAUUUUUGGGAUAUUGAGGGUGAUUAUUGAAGUUGCGGUUGAAUGGAGGUUUGUUGAACUGUUGAUUCUUACAAAAAGAAGCAGUUGGUAGCCGGUUGAACUGUUGGCUAACAAGGGCUAUAGCAUUCUGAAAUUCUUCUUCUUCAUCAUAAUUUGAGUCAGCUUCGUAUGACUGCAGAAGAUUGUCAUACGAGGGAGAGUAAGAUUGAAUAUGUGGAGCUUGUGCUAUAAGAGCCAGUGGUCCUCCGAAGUUAGCACAUUCUUUGAGUACAAUGGAUUCUUGUGCUUGCAGUUCGCCGUUGAGCUUGUAGAGAGAUAAAGAAUGGAUUUUUCUAUCUCCUUCGACUAUCAUCUUUGCAUUCGUCCAGUGUCUUCCCAAACCAUUGAAAAACUGAAGAUUUGUCUCAUUGUUGCUUCGGACCGUGCCAACAUUAGAUAACUUAGUGACAAUCAGAUUGAACCUUUUGAAGGAAUCUUCCAAACUUUCGCCAGUAUGAGCUUUGAAAUUGUUGAAUUCAUUGAGUGCGGUUGUGAGCUUAUCUUGAGCUUGUUCUGUGCCCUCAUAUAAGUUUUUAAGAACAUCCCAGAUCUAUUUUGUUGAUUUGCAGUUUAUGAUAAUGUCGAAAUUGUCAGGAGAAACUCCACAAGAGAUUUCAUAAAAAGCAACAACAUCAUUUUCCAUUUUAUCGAGAUCAUCUUUGGUGGGACGAUUCAUGGCUGGUUGGCCUCCUCCUAGCCUGGUUGUGGCACUGUCGGUUUGAACUGGUGUAAGAACAAGGACAUGUGGCCCUUCUUCUACAGAUCGCUAUACAUCUCUUCCAAGUCUCCUUAAGUAUUUUCCCAUCCUCUACGACCAAUGAUGAUAUUCGUUUACCUCCAAUAUUGGGGCUCUAUUAGAACCACCAACACGGUUGGAAACAUUAAGAGAUAAUGCUUGUGCCAUAUUUCCUUGUUUUGAUUUUUUUUUUUGAGAAAUGAGCUUCAGUGGUAUAGAAGACCUUUUGAAAAUCAGAGUUUUGCUUCAAAAAGCAACCACUUUGGCUGUGAUACCAAUUGGUGAGAGAAAAACUUGAGUCACACUUGAAAAAACGUUAAGUGAUAAUGCAGAAUAAAUUUUAACUCAAAAGAUCAUUAAAGCUCAACAAUAAUAAUAAGUUAGAGUUAGAAGGUUAGAAAGUUAGAUGCGGAAAUAUAAGGAAAUAUAAAAGACAACAAGAAUUAUAUCAAGUAUACACUUUAGUUGAUUCUUAACAAGGAAUGCAAUCAGACCAAGUUAGUAAGUGAGAUCAAACUUAGUGAUUAAGUCUAGAAAGACUUGCUCCGAAGAGAUAUCAAACAGUUACGAUUAUAUCUAAAUGAUAAGUAAGAGGAGAGUAAGAUGAGUGAUAAGAUUCAAGAUGCGUAAGAGAAGUAUUUUUCAUUGAGAAGAAGAGAACUCUAUUUAUAGAGUCUCGAAGAUUACAUACAGUCUAAUCUGUUAAGAAUUGCCAUGCAGGACACACUGGAUAAAAGAAAGUACUUAUAGAAAAACAGAUAUUAGACUAAGACUAAGAGAUGAUGACUUUGGUUGCUGAUCUUGAUUGCAGUGUUAAGAUUGAUUGCGGUUGCUGAAAGCUACUUCAGAUCUCUUUUAAGUUUAAGAGGGUCACUUUUUAUGUUUCAACAAGGUUUACAUGGAUGAAACCCUAAUCCUCCAUACUAUAUAAAGAGGUCUUUGGCACAAAAAAUGGCACUAGUGUGUGAGGAUACAAGAGUGAGUCAAUUUCUAGUGUGCUUACUAUUCUCUCAAGGUUCCAAGGUGGUUUUUGGUGAUCUGUGAUUCCACUUGAGGCUUCUACACUAUUGGGGCUAAGCUCUUAAAGAUCAAGACUUCAAGCUUCAUCAAAAGGUAUGUCUUAUAACUUGUUUGUAUUACCCAAGUAUCAAAGAUUGUAUGCUAGUUAGGGUAAUACCUUGGAAAGUUCAAGUUUGCAUGUAUAAUAGAGAAAACAUAGAUCCAAGGUAUUUAGGGUUGCAUGUACACCAUAGGAGUGUUAGAAUGCUCAAAACCCUUCAGGGAAGUCAGAUAAGGUAUUGGAUUCCUGGUUUUGAGUUGAUUAGUGAUCUUUGUCCUUUAUUGCUUAAGGUCAGCAGGAGCAAGGAUUUGUCUGUCAUCAAUAUGUGAAUUCGGCUGAGGAUGGUUUGAUUAUUGGAAGGCCAUCGUAUGACAGGGUCAACUUUUAUCAAGGAUCUGGUAGGUGGCUGAGGUGGAUAUGUUUUCGGGUAUCUAUAAAUUUAUUUAGGACGGAUAGGUUUGUUCGAUUUGGGUUGUGAAGUUAAGUCUUUGUGCGAACAAUUUUGAUUGGUUCUGUCUGUCUGGGAGUCAAACAUCGUUCGGGAUUUUCAAUUUCAGGUAUAUCGGUUGAAUACUCGUUGGCUUAGGGAAAAGGUUAAAGUUCAUUCUUUGUUAAGGCUUGUGAUAUCUGCUAAUUUGCAUUCGACAACAGUAAGGGUGGGCAGUCAUCAGAGCGAGGUGACUUCCCCAUUUUUUUUAGGAUUCACGGAAUUCAGACAAGAUCGUUUAGUUCGGUAAAGGUGAUAGUAAAGAAUGAUUUCGAGGAUGAAAUCUAAUUUAAGUGGGGGAUAGUUGUAACACCCUGUUCGGGAUCAUUCUAUGAUUUAGGGUCGUAGGCCGGAAGUUGAUUGUGUAAAGGUUUUGGGCCUUAAGGAGGUGAUGUUUAGACCUUUUGGAAGGGGGUAAUGAUGGUUAUGAGAUCUAAACCCUUGAAUUGUGUUUUGGAGUCGAAAGGUAAAACGGGAAAAGUCAUAGGUCAGGUUCUUGCAUGAAAUAUGGAUUUUUGUUUGAGAAUUUUUUAGUCCAAGAUAUUUAGAUAAUAUUAUAGAGCUCUCCAAUACAUUUCCGUGGAUAUAAAGAACUUCGAAAAUGGAGUUGGAACGAAGAAGUUAUGACCGUUUGAAUUUAUGACGAUUUUUGGGUCAACCGCAUACGUUGGGCGUACUAAGUAUGCCUAAGUACACUGGGCAGAAAUUGAGUAUGUUGGGCGUACGCGAUCAGUGCUUAAACCCUAUUUUUGUGGUUUGAGCCUUAUUUAAGCUCAUUAACUCCCCCAAACUGAUUCCAUUCUCGCCCUCCACCUCUCCAACAACCUCUUUUGUAACCCUAACCCUAGAUUGAGCCUUGUGAGUAAAAAAAAUGUGUUUUUAAAUGCCUUAGAAUGUUCUUGGUGCACCUUGGAGAAGAAGGAACUCAUUGAAGAAGUGUUGGUUGCAUUGGAUCUUGUAGAUCCGGACAUUGUUCACCUUAAUCUUUCUCCUAGAGGUAUAACGUUUGAAUCUUGAUGACGAAAUUGUUAGAUCUAGCUAGUUUUGGGUGUUAUGAGCUUUUGGUCACUUUAAGUGCAUAAAGUUUAGAUAUUGAAAGUUUGUGACCUUGUUAUGGAUAAAGUUGUAAACUUUAUCCAUUAAACAUAAUUUUGAUUCAGAUCUGAAGGUUGGAGACUUGUACCUAAUGGAUUAAGUUGAAAAAGAUGCACUUUUGGGUCCCUUUGAGACUUAAAGACUAGAUCUUGUUUCUUGGGAGCAUUCUAAUGGAUAAAGUUGGAAACUCUAUCCAUUAUGGAACCAUUAUGAACCAUAAAAAUGUGAUCUUGACCCUUCUAUCCCUUCCAUACAAAAUUUGUGAUGUCCUAUUGGGUUAAGAACUUAGGGUUUUGGACAUUAAGAACUUUUUAGCCAUGCAAAGUCAUAAAGUUGGAAACUUUAUGACUUAGAACAUCAUUUUAGGCUUGGAUCUGAGUUUUGGACGUAAGGGCUUAAUGUAAUAAGCUCUUAAUAGAUUUUAGAACUGGGAUACGUACGUUGGGCGUACCUGGUGGUACGCUGCACGUACGCAGUUAGCGCCCUGUUUUUGGUCAACAUUAGAGCACGUUGGACGUACUUUCUUGGUACGUAGGGCAUACUCCGUUGGGAAGAAAUAUUGACUUUUGGACCUUGACCGUUGACUUUGAGUCUUACCAGGGAUGACCAAGCUUGACCCAAGGGAAUUUUGGCUAAUUUGAGUUUUGGGGUCCUGUUAAUUGUAUAGGAGACCGGUAGAGAUAGAUUUUAGAGCAAUGAUCAGUGCAACUAUUCUUUCAUACUGUGAGGUGAGUUUUCUCACUAUAUCCAUGCGUCGAAGGCACCAAUGCCGACCCAUUACUUGUUAUGUGGAAUGCUAGUUGUCUCUAUGAUACCUGCAUGAGAAACCAGGAUUUGGCCCCUGUCUAUUGUAUGAAAGACCAGGAUUUGGCCCCUAGCAGUUGUAUGAAAGACCAGGAUUUGGCCUAUGGCGAUUAUAUGAAAAACUAGGCUCUGGCCCCUAACAGUUGUAUGUAAGACCGAGAUUUAGCCUUCGACAUUGCAAGGAAAGACCUUUGGGGUAACCCAUGACAAUUGUAUGUUUUUUAUGUGGUAUUUAGGUGAACUAACUAAGCUUUAUACUUACGGUUUCAUAUUUAUGGUUUCAGAUACUUUCUGUUCGAAAGGGAAAGGUCCGACGUGACUACACAACAUCCCCUAGAGUUUUUCUCAUUGGCAAUUAAUGAUAUUACUCUGAUGUUUAAAUGAUAUAUUCACUUGAUCGGUUUUGGAACAACUCGUUUGUAUGAUUUAUUGUUUAAAUGAAAAAAAUUCACCUGGGAUUUUUGGGUCGUUACAAGCUAGAUCUGCAAAAUGGACGUUGGACUUAAAGCAUUUAGUGUUUAAUGGCGUGUUGGUAAUCUGGGACGUACACGGGGCAUACGAAAGUGUAUGCUUAGCGUACAUGCCUGAGUCCCCGAUUUCUUUUGGCGAAAGCUAGUACGUGGGGCGUACUGGUGGUACGCUUAGUGUACUCACCAGGAACCCUUUUGGGUUUUAGGUCUUUUGGACCAUUAUUGGGCCUUAUGUCUGUUGGGCUUGUGUCAUGGGUUGAGGGGCCCAUUAAGGGAAGGGUAGAAUGGUCUUUUACCCCCUUAGCAUGUUGAAUGGUAGUCUAGACUGUCUAUGGGUUAUUACCCUUAGUAUCAAUUAGGGUUAAUUUGGAAUGUUCAGUGUGAAGAGUCGUAGUAGCAGCAACCCAGGGGUGUGGUUUGUCUAUCUUCGGACUGAGGUGAGUCUCCUCACUGUACUUGUGGGUCGAAGGCACCAAUGUGCGGCCACUGGAAUAUGUAUUAGUUUAGUAGUGAUUUGUGUGGCACUUAUUGAUAUAAUUGUAUGUGCUUGUUGUCUUUAUGACUCUUGCUUAUAUGACUGUAUACUUAGCUGUAGAGGUGAAAUAGACCCGUACUGGUUGAAAGAUACAGAAGGAGUCGGAAGUGACCCAGAGAGAACUCAGCUAGUCGAAAGGGACUCAUGGGUGAAAUAGACUUGCUACAUGUUUUAGCAUGAUAUGUAUGUAUGAUGUAUGUAUGUUAUGUGUGAUAUGUGGUAUUUGAGAAAGUCACUAAGCUUUGUGCUUACAGUUUAAAUUUAUGUUUUAGGUACUUCCAAUUCGAAAAGGAAGGGUACGACUUGAUCGCAGGGCAUCCACUCAUGUUUUAGCAUUUUUAUGAUUUUGGGAAUUGUAUUCUAACUAUUUUACUAUGACAUACUUUCGGAUAGUUUGAUAUGAAUAUUUAAUGACUUGGUUGAAUUGAAAAUGAAAUUUUUAUCUAUGAUUUUUAUGUUGUUUUUGAAUGACUAAAUAUCUUAUGUCAUUUUGGCUAAACCGUUGAAUAACCUUGUGUUACUUAUCUUCUCAUCAUUUUUAAAUAUAAAAAAUACUCCAUUCUUGUUCCGCCAUAACUUGUAUGUAGUUGGUAUCGGUAUAAAAUGAGUAUCUCGCCAAUAAGGCCAAGCUCGGGUUUUGAUAAAUUUGGCCCAUGAAGAAACCUAAAGGUGAAACUAAUAUCGAAAAUAGUCCAUAAAAAAUUUCUUCAUAGUACGUUGUAUUAUGUUUGGUCUUCUUAGCGGCUAUAAAUUUAAAAAGUAAAUCAGUCUCCAUAACUUAUAAGAUUGAAAUAUUAGUUACGAAAAAUAUAUCAUGUAUCAUGUAAGAUAGAUUAAAAAUCGAAUAACCAUUUUGAUUUUCAAAUCUACCAUGUUUUCCUCCUUAAUCCCAAAAAAAAAAAAAAAAAAAAAAAAAAAAAAAAANCCCCCUAAAACCCAAAAAAAAAAAAAAAAAAAAAAAAAAAAAAAAAAAAAUCUAGAAAAUAAAUUAUUAAAAUAAAAAAGAAAAAAAGGGUUAUCGACAGUUAUUUUAGAGACGGUGGGAGGCAUAAACGCGGUUUUAGUGCAACGAAUUUUGAGCCUAGACUAUUCUAGUGGCGUCGGAAGUCGGUGACAUUGUUUAUGUGUACCUCUUCCUUCCAUCCAUCCAAUACAGAUCACCACCACCCUCCGCCUCAACCUUAUAUCUUCGCAACCUUCCUCAACCUCAAAUGCCUCCAUCUCCCUACCUACUACUCUUUCCCGCCGGAUCACUCUCUACAAAUUGCUUUUCAGUGUGAUAAUUUAAAUUCAGUAGUAACGGAUGAACUUGAAAUGAGUCUGAAACUGAAUACAGUGGUAGGGUCUCUACGCCCAUCUCAAGUAAACAUUCUAUUUCUCAAUGUUGCAACUUUCCAUCGACUAUGGAGGCCUCCACGACGCAAAAGGUCAACAUACCUAGUCAUACACAGCAACCUUCAGUUAAGUUCAUCUUUAUAUUCAGCACAGGAUACUUUAUUCCAUGGCUUUCUUUCUCAACUGAAUUCACUGGAUUUACUUGCUCCAGCCCUAGGUUUCACCUCUGUUCUCGCUAUCCUCUACAACUCCACUUUCACCACCCACCCCUCCAAUGGAAUCGGGGACUGGAUUCUCUUUACCUCUCCCACGCCGUUUAACCGUUUUGUCAAGUUACGUUGCGAAUCGCUUCUGUUGGAGGAUUCAAAUGAGAAGCUGAUCAAGGAGGAUGGUCAUCUUGUUAGCUUCGAUACGGGACCAAUUCAACAAACUGGUGUAAAUCAUGAUUAUAAUGAUGAUGUUUUAGGAAAACAACUUUCCUAUCAGAGAAUCUGUGUUAAUACCGACGAUGGUGGAGUGGUGUCCUUGGAUUGGCCUGCCAAUUUGGAUUUGACUAAUGAACUUGGUUUAGACACCACCGUUUUGGUUGUUGCAGGGACUACAGAUGGAAGUAUGGACGAGAAUGUUAUGUCCUUUGUGUACGAAUGCUUGAAGCGCGGUUGUUUCCCCAUUGUGAUGAAUCCCAGGGGUUGUGCCCGUUCGCCACUCACAACACCCCGGUAAGCUCUAAAUCUUCCCAUUAAUUCGACUCUCUUUUACUCAAUAGAUGAGGACACCUUAACUACAUUAUAUAUGUAGGUUAUUCACGGCUGCUGAUAGCGAUGAUGUCUGCACAGUUGUACAGUUCAUAAACAGGGCCAGACCAUGGACAACUUUGAUGGGUGUUGGCUUCGGUUAUGGUGCAAAUAUGUUGACAAAGUAUCUAGCUGAAGUUGGGGAGGAAACGCCUCUUACAGCUGCCACGUGUCUAGACAAUCCUUUCGAUUUAGAAAGAGCUACUAAAUCCCCUAAUCAUCGUUAUGUCAAUCAGAAUCUCACCGAUGGCUUAAUUGAUAUGCUCAAGUCCAACAAGGUUAUUACUCUUUCAUAUUGUUUUUAUUAUAUCCAAUAAACGAGAUGCUUCAUAGUGUCUUCUUUUGCUUCCAGGAACUAUUUCAGGGUCGAAGUAAAGGGUUUGAUAUUGAAAAGGCUUUACAGGCUAAAUCACUUCAAGAGUUUGAGGAAGCAAUAUCCAUGGUAUCAUAUGGAUUCGAUUCAAUACAAGAAUUUUAUGUCAACUCCAGCACAAGAGAUGUGGUUGGCAAAGUAAAGAUCCCUCUUCUCUUUAUUCAGGUAAAAUAUGUUAUUCAUUUAACUACAAGUGUGAUAGAUUUAAACCCAAAUCAGGAUUUUACAACAUUGUAUUCUGAUUGUUCAUUUGUUCAUUAUCAGGAUGAUGUAAUGCCAUCUUUUUCCAUUCCACGUGGGUUGAUAGCAGAAAAUCCAUACACAAGCUUGCUUACUUGCUCUUUACAAUCAAAAGACAAAAGCUAUACAGGGACGUCUGCUGUAUCAUGGUGUCAGCAUCUUGUUGUUGAGGUAAUUAAUUAACUAAUUAUUCACAUAAACUGGUUAUUGGUUGUAAAUUGUAACAUUCAUCUUACAUGUGUACAUACAGUGGCUUACAUCCAUUGAGCUUGGACUUUUGAAGGGUCGACAUCCUCUUUUGGAGGACACUGAUGUAACCAUUAAUCCUUCAAAAAGUUUAAAACUGAUGGCAAGUAAAUCAUCUCAUUCAAAAAAGAUGCUGAAAACAAAUGAUACUGAUUCAAGCUCAAAAUUUGAAGAAAAAGAUAAAGAUCUAAAAAAAACUACUAAUGGAGCAGUGACAAAGACAAAUUCUACAGUUGUAGAAGCAGAGGUAGUGAAGGAAGGUGAUGUGGAUCUUACAGAUAGUGAAAGAGGGAAACUGCUACAGGCUACAGAAGUUGUGAUGAAUAUGCUUGAUGUUACCAUGCCUGAAGCUCUAUCAGAAGAACAAAAAAAGAAGGUAAUUUUAAUAUCCCAGUUUCAGAAAUACACUCAAUAUUUUCUUUUUAAAUAAAACAAGUUUUGAUGAAUAUGGUUUUGAUUAGGUCCGAACUGCCAUUGGUAAAGGAGAAACCCUAAUGACUGCUUUGCAAGGUGCUGUUCCUGAAGAGGUCCGUGGGAAGCUUACAACUGCUGUUACUGGAAUCCUGGAAAGUCAAAAGAAAACCUUAAAUGGCCUAACAAGUAUUACCAAGAUUCCUGAUGUGUUGAACAAAAAGAUUCUUAAAAAAGAACCAAAAGAUACUUCUGACCAUAGUAAGAAUGAUGAUUCUUCCAAACAAAAAACUGAUGAAUCUGAUUCAAGUAGCAAAGCGGAAACUUCUGGUAGCUCUGAGGAUAAAGUCAAACCUGGAAAUGAAGGUGAAACAAAAGAGGAGAAGGGUGAUCAACAGAAAGAAGAAACAAAUGCACCAAAUCCAGUGAAUGAAGAAACUCCAUCACCUUCUUCUCCAGAAGAUGGUGUUCCAGAUGACACUGCUUCUGGUCUUCCAUCUCUUGAACCUCCUCCAGCAUUGGAUGCUAUAACAGGGAUUGAUGAUUCUACACAAGUAGCAGUUAACAGUGUUUUUAGUGUGAUUGAAGGUGUGAUUACUCAGGUGGAAGGGGAGACAGAUGAUGAAUCAGAAACUGAUAAUGAAAACGAGGUUGAAGAAACAUCUACAACAGAAUCUGAAAAGAAGCAUCAAACUGAGAGCAAAUCUGAUUUGCAAGAUGAAAAAAGCAUCAAACUUUCUACAGACUCUCAAAAGACGCAUCAAACUAACACAUCUACAGAGUCUGAAAAGAAGCAUCAAACUAAAAGCAAAUCUGAUUUGCAACAGAAAAAAGAUGAAGAAAUCAUCGAAGUUUCCACAGACACAGAAAAGAAGCAUCAAACUGAGGUUGAAGAAACAUCUACAAACUCUGAAAAGAAACAUCAAAUUAAGAGCAAAUCUGAUUUGCCACAGAAAAAAGAUGAAAAAAUCAUCAAAUUUUCCGGAGACUCAGAAAAGAAGCAUCAAACUGAGGUUGAAGACACAUCUACAGACUCUGAAAAGAUGAAUCAAAGUGAGAGCAAAUCUGAUUUGCAACAGAAAAAUGAUGAAAAAAUCAUCGAACUUUCCACGGAUUCAGAAAAGAAGCAUCAAACUGAGGUUGAAGAAACAUCUACAAACUCUGAAAAGAAACAUCAAACUAAGAGCAAAUCUGAUUUGCCACAGAAAAAAGAUGAAAAAAUCAUUAAAUUUUCCAGAGACUCAGAAAAGAAGCAUCCAACUGAGGUUGAAGACACAUCUACAGACUCUGAAAAGAAGCAUCAAAGUGAGAGCAAAUCUGAUUUGCAACCGAAAAAAGAUAAAGAAAUCAUCAAACUUUCCAGAGACUCAAAAAAGAAGCAUCAAACUGAGGUUGAAGACAAAUCUACAGAGUCUGAAAAGAAGCAUCAAACUAAGAGCAAAUCUGAUUUGCCACAGAAAAAAGAUGAAGCAAUCAUCAAACUUUCCACAGACUCUGAAAAGAAGUAUCAAACUAAGAGUGAACCUGAUUUGCAACAGAAAAAAGAUGAAGAAAGCAUUAAACUUUCCACAGCAUCUGAAAAGAAGCAUCAAACCGAGGUUGAAGACACAUCUACAGACUCUGAAAAGAAGCAUCAAACUAAGAGCGAAUCUGAUUCGCAACAGAAGAAAGAUGAAAAAAGCAUCAAACUUUCCACAGAGAAAAAAGAUGAAGGGAAAUCAGAAGAUAAUGAUGAUGAUGAUGAUGAGGAUGUUAUUGAACCAGAUUAUGUAAUAUUAGAUUCUGAAGAUGAUUGGGACAAGAAAGGAAAACUUGAAAUUGGUGAUGAUGCAUCAGUGGUGCUAAUGCAACGUGUGAAAGAGAACAUAUUAAAAUCAUUAAAGGUUGAAGUUUGCAGAAGAAUAGAUGCAACAGAGAUGGAGGAUAUGGCAGAAACACUGAAAAAAGAGGUAGAGCAUGUUGCUAAUGAAAUUUCUGUAGCUGUAGUAAAUGAAAAACAGCAUAUAAUAUCAUGGGAUGGUGAGGAUAUGUUUGGUCAUGGUAAUCCGUAUGCUGAACGUAUACUAGACACCAUCACUUCAGCUGUUGAGGGCACCACAUAUUUGAAAAAAUCAAUUCCACUUGGCAUUGUUGUAGGCUCCAGCCUAGCUUCCUUGACAAAAGUCUUCAAGACUGCUGCAGCAGAUCCCGUAGAGAACAACACUGUAAGACAUCAAUUGACUCUCAAAGAAGUCAACCAGAAGAACAACAAAGUCAACAGUGAAGAUGAUGUAUAUGAGGAACAAGAUGAUGUAUAUGAGGAAGAAGACAUGUCAUUGUCGACUAGUCUAGGAAAUAACACUGUGAUGGCUGGAGCUGUUACUGCAGCCCUAGGAGCAUCUGCUUUAUUUGUUCAACAACAAGUAAGGGUUCUAUGUCUUUUUUUUUUUUUUAUUAUCAUUGUCAUUCCAUAUAUCAUUUUUUGUAACAUAGCGCAUAAACAUGAAGGGUUCAAAUGGUGAUGGACUUGAAAAUUCAUUAUCCUCUUUUUCUUUCAAUCAAAAAGAGAAUCAUGAGGAGCCUGGGAAUAUGGUUGAGGAGAAUACAUCCAAAAGCAAUGACAAUAAUAUAGUCACAAGUCUUGCUGAGAAAGCCAUGUCAGUUGCUGCUCCUGUAGUGCCUAAGAAAGAAGAUGGUGCAGUGGAUCAAGACAGGUAUUUGUUAUCUGUUAUCUGUUAACUGUUAUCUGUUAUGUGAACAUAUAUCUUGAUUCUUGUGUGGUUAGGUUGGUUGCCAUGCUGGCAGAUUUGGGGCAAAGAGGUGGCAUAUUGAGAUUGGUUGGUAAAUUUGCUUUACUUUGGGGUGGAAUACGAGGUGCUAUGAGUUUGAUUGGAAAGCUCAUCUCUUUUCUGAAGCUUUCAAAGCGACCUCUGUAUCAGAGGUAAAUAUCUAUAUAUCUAUAUCUGUAUCUAUAUCUAUGUCCUGACAAGUGAUCUUUUCGGGGCCUUAGGAUCUUGGGUUUCGCAGUUUUGGUGGUUGUAUUGUGGACCCCAGUUGUGGUUCCUUUGCUUCCAACACUCUUACAAAACUGGGCAACAAAAAACUCCUCAGCAAACGGGUUUGCAGAGCUUGCUUGCAUAAUCGGUCUUUAUGGUUCUGUUGUGGUGCUGGUUGUGUUAUGGGGGAAAAGAAUCAGAGGCUAUGAAAAUCCACUUGAAAAAUACGGUCUUAACUUCAAAUCAACAACACAGGUAUCAAUAUCAAUAUCAACUUUCACUAAUUUGAAAAUGAAUUAUAAUCUUAAUGUUGGUUGUGUUUUCAGAUGAAAAACCUGGCGUUAGGGCUGAUGGGAGGGGUGAUGUUUGUUUCAUUGAUACAAUUUACAAAUAUGACCCUUGGAUUUGUGUCCAUAUCUUGGUCUGCAACCACUCCAUCUUCAGCAGACCCUCUUACGAUUCUCAAGUUGACUGGAGAUGUUGUGAGAAUUGCUGGUCAAGGGCUGAUAACAGCAACCGCGAUUGCUUUAGUGGAAGAAUUGCUGUUCAGAUCAUGGUUAACUGAAGAAAUUGCAACUGAUCUUGGAUACAUAAAAGGAGUAAUCCUCUCAGCAUUUGCAUUUUCAAUAUCUCAAUGGUACGUUACAACUUAAUUUGUUCAAAUUCAAAUUUUCAAUAUAAAUUCAUAAUCUUCGUUUUGUUUUUUUAAUUAAAUUUAAUUAGGUCGCUGAAGGCAAUACCGGGGCUUUGGCUCUUAUCAAUAGGGCUGGCAGGCGUUCGACAGAGAUCGGGGGGAAGCCUGGCAAUUCCAAUAGGGCUGCGGGCAGGGAUUAUGGGUUGUAGUUUUAUGUUAAAAGAAGGCGGGUUUUUUAUAUUUCAACCAAAUUACACUUCAUGGAUAAUAAGUGGUGGUGAUCCUUUCCAACCUUUUAGCAGCAUAGUUGGUCUUGUUUUUGCUUUAUUAUGGGCGAUAUUUUUGUACCCACGAAACCCGAAAAAAGAGAACAACUGAUCAACCAAGAAACAGAAGAGACUCCAAUACAGUAAAUCUGUAUGACUGUAUCUGUAUCUGUAUAGUAUAGUAGCAAAAAAUCUUGAGAAUCAUGAACAUGAACAUGGGACUGUAUAUCUGUAUACUGUACUUGUAUUUCUAAAAAUAAGAGGGUGUUAAGUGCCUGUUUUAGUAUUAUAUAUAGAAGGGUAAGUAAAAAUGACUGUUGUUAACUUGUCCAUGUCUCUAAUCUCUAUUAGAAUUGUUGUGAUAACCUAUAAUCCCAUUAUUGGUUACUUCUCCAUGGGCCUGGUUCAACAAUACGUUGCAACAACGGUCUCAAAAUUAGGCUACUUCUCUUCCAUAAAUGUUCAUUUUUUAGGAUUUAAGCCCCAGUUUAACAUCAUGUUGUUAAUGGUGACAUGGCAAAUUAAAAUAAAUGGUUUAAUAAACUAUAAUCUCAUUAUUGGAAGUGUGUUACAAGAUAUAGAUUUCUAAAUGCCAAUAAAAAGAUGUUUUUCCUAGUUUAAUGAUAUGGUUGAGUGAGGCGGAAAUAUAGAAUGUUUAGUUGACAUUCAAUGGAUUAAAGUCUACCAUAAUGAAAUGUCAUAAAAACAAAUAUGAAUAAGGGUUCAUCCAGAAGUCACGUGGAGAAAUAUGCUCCGCCUCAACAUCCUCUAAAGCAGGUUAAGGUGCAACAUAUGGUAUAGCCACUCAGAAGCAAUUGGUCUUUUGCACAAGCAGUCACCGAAAUGAUGAAAGGUAAUACUAUUACUCAUUCAUGCCCAACUAUUGCCUUAAAGCCAAUCGAGAGAGUUUCCAAGUGGGAAGAACGUGUAUUGGUGGGUGAAGUAUGCAGUGCUCAAUAUAUAGCAAGCCUCCCUACAAUCAUGGAAAGAGGCGCAACCAUAGUGGGAAAAUGCACUACAUAGGAGGACUAAAUAAUGAUUGUUUUCAUCAACGAGAAAGAGGUGGAAAUGUUGUAUGGUGAUGAUUCAAAUUGGAACAGAUGGUUUAAAUGGUUAAAAAGGGGUUUCAAUGAAGACAAUGGAGUAGAAAGAAUUGCAUGGUUCAGAAUACAUGGAGUUCCUAUAAGAUUUCGGUCUGAAGAGAACUAUGCAAGGAUUGGUGAGAACUUUAGAAAACCAAUAGAAACAUUCGGAGGCAAUUGGGAAGUUUUGAUAUUUCAACGGGUCACGUAUGUAUUUUGACAACAUCAAAGAAGAUUAUCAAUGGAGAGGUAGACAUCGUAUAUGAAAAUAAGCGGUAUAUGGUUGGUGUGGUUGAAUAUGAUAGAGAUUGGGCACCAUUUGACAACAACGCCUGGAAUUAGUCUUGUAUUACGAAAGACGAGCAUGAUGGUGAGGAAGAAGAUGAGGCUGAUUCAGAUAAUUCAGAUGGGGAAGAGAAUUUAGACUCUGAUGAAGAUGCUAUCGCAGCAACAUGGGAGAUCCCAAAGGAACAACAUGAUGAACUUGAAGACAGCGAAAUUGUUGAAGAGACUGAGUUAGAAGAUGAGUCUCGUCGGUCCUCACCUCCGACACCAACAACGAAACUUACAGUUGGAUUCGAAGGAGACAUAAUAAUGGCGGAAGGUGAAUCGACUCCUAUAAUUAAUACACCUGUGAGUCCCAAUAGGAAUUUAAUGAAGAGGAAUAUUGAAUCAGAAUCCAACGAGGCCAAAAAAGAUCCGACAAGAUCCAGUGAGCCCAAUUCAAAUAUAUCACACAGGCCGAUUUCAAACAUCCCUCUUCCAGGCAGUGAUAAGUGGCCCACAACUCCGAAAAAGGUCCAAUUCGACACUUCACCCCCGAAAUUCAAUAUAGGUGUGACAAACUGAAAUUUCCAUUCUGAACAAACCAUUUGAAGCCAAUAGAAGUAGAACAGUUACAGUGAAAACUCAGAUUUCGAGUAUAAGUUUGGCAGUUUUCAGGAUUUUUACACUUAAGGAGAUAUUAGGAGAGUGGAUGCACUAGGGUUUUGUGUAACACUGUUAUUCCAAGACUCUAGGACAUUAGAUUUCGUUCCAGGAAUAAAAAUAUUUUCUGCCAAAAAUAUCUCCGGACUAUAAAUAGAAUUCUGAACCAAAUUGGUUCAUUUGUUGAAUUCCAUUUAGAGAAAGUCAAAAUUCUCUCUCACGGAUCUUCGGGUUUUUAUCCCAAAUUGUGAGUACUUCGAUCUAGUUAUGUUAUAUAGCUUAGAUUAUGUUUAGAAACAUCAAUUUCAUAGCAAAACAACUAGACUCGGGAGUUUACUGCCCAAGAACGUUCUUGGGGAGUAAACUCCAUUUUAAGGUCCUAAAGGGUUCCAAUGACCCUUAAAGCUUUAGAACUCGAACUAGAAGCCUCCAAUUCAUGCUUUAGACCACAAAACAAUUAGGAAUCAUGGCUAGAAGUGAGUUCACGGCCAAGGAGCUUCUUAGGCCGUGAACUCCAUGUUUUAGGUGCCAAAAUGCUUUGAAACACUUCCUAAGGCUUAGGCUUAAAUUAGGACAAGUACCCUAAAGUGUUUAUAGCCUAGAAAACAUAAGGAAUCACUAGUAUUGAGGAGUUUACGGCCAAGACAAGUUCUUGGGCCGUAAACACCUAUAAAGGGGUCAAAAGGCACCCUAACUCCUUCCUUAAGCCAAGAGACCAAUUUGGGCAUGUACCUAAAUGAGUUUUGGACUAGCUAACACACUUAGAACACCAAGAGUAAGGGAGUUUACGGCCCAAAAGGUUCUAGGGCCGUGAACUCCAUAAAAUGGUGCCAAAUGGUGCCAUAAACUCUUCUAAAGCCAAGUACAAAAGCCUAGUUUAGUUCCUAGUUAAUUUAGAGACUUGAAAACACCAUAAACACCCUCCCAAGGGAGUUUACGGCCGUAAACUCCAAGGGAAUAUGGUCCCUGGGCCGUAAACUCCUUAAAGGAGUUAAUAUGACACCCAAACACUUGAUUUAGCCUUGAAACAAUUCACCACAUGAGUUGUAUAAUUGUUAGACUUCAUUUAGGGGCUUUGUUGAGAGUUUACGGCCAGGAGUUUACUCCCCUGGGCCGUAAACUCCAAAACAUAUGGUCAUUAGACCAUAAACUCCCAUUAGAGGCAUUGCACUCCUUUGUUGCAACCCAUUAGCCUCCUAGCACUUGACCAAAAGUGUUUUCCUCGCGUUUAAAUGUUUAUACUUGUAUAAUUAGUGUUUUAAUCACUAAUUAUUUAUAUACAUAUGUCUUCAUAUGUAAUUAGGAUCAUUGUGUGUGUCUAAAGUCUUCACUUGACACCAAGCACUUGUCCGAUCCUUCCUUACGAUAACAGUCCGUUCAAUUCCAGUCACUUACUGCAGGUGAGUUCAUACCCCUUAAAUAAUGUUUUAAACUAUUUUUAAAUGUUUUAGGGGGGGGAUACAAGUAGAAUCAUGCUAGUUAUUAUAUCAAUCACAUGUGAUUAAUAAGUAGAAUUAUGCUAGUUAUUAUAUCAAUCACAUGUGAUUAAUAUGCAGCAUUCAAAUGAUUUACUACACAUUAGCCGUUUUACCAAACAGUUUCCUUCAAAUGAUUUUUAUAAACAUUUUAUAUGUUUUAAACUCCUUAUUACACUGUACAUUUUACUCUGUAUAUUACAUUUCAAACUUAUUUACAAUUGUGUUUCAAACAAAUGUUUCUUUAUACUAAACUGUUUUAUCAAACCCAUGCCUUCAAACUGUUUUAUAGAUUGACAUCAAGUCGAUCUUUUCUGAAGAUAAUAAUUAUGUUCAAAUGUUUUACAAAACUUAUUUAUGCUUUUAUAUUAUAAAUUGCAUGCCUCUAUAUGUAUAGUUAUAUAAGAAAUGUUUAAAAGACUUAGGAAGGCUAUCCACCCUAUUUCCUUUUCGCGCUUGAGAUGUGGUCUGGUGGGAUAUCGGGUACUCGUCCGAAAGUCGUUUAAAUAUUAGUUAUAUAUCAUGUGUACAUAUAUAGUCAUAAAAAGGUCCUUCCAGUUCAUCCCAUGCCCUUGGGUAGCAAGGGUAUACAUCCAUGUCCAUACGUACCAGUUAGAUUACUAGUAAACUACCAUAUGGGUAGUUUAGGAAGAUACUAGAACUAUUACUAGAACACAAUAUCAUACUAUGAGUCAGUUCAUUCAUGAGUCAAUACUUACUACUAUGAGAACAUAUACAACUAUACUAGAGAAGAACAUAUACAACUAUACUAGAGGAGAACAUAUACAACUAUACUAGAGAGAGAACAUAUACAACUAUACUAGAAAGAGAACAUAUAUAACGAUACUAGAACGAGUACAUUACUAUACUUGCUAGGUAGAGAGCACGUACAAUACUAGCUAGAACAUUACAGUACAUUACCAUACUACUACAUAGAUAUGGUCACAUGAUUAUACUUACAUGAGUACACUUACAAGAAUUACUAGUACAUUAUAUAUGUAUAGAUUCUGUUAUAUAAUCCUCAUUCUUAUCUUUACCUUGUGAUUCAAUCACAUAAUCGACGAGAUAGAAUGGAUUUAAUAUCCUAGUACCCAAGGAUACAUUGCGGGACUGACCAUUCCUAAAAUCUCUGCUAGCUACAGAGGUAAAAGCACAUCCACGGAUGUCAACGGUUGAUACCAUUACAGGUAUACUUUUGGGGACUAACUAUUCCUAUACCCAGCUGUUAGCAACAGAGGUAAAUGUACAUCUACGGAUGACUUCAGUUAACAUUGUUAGUUGCCCUUGUUCCAAAGGGUAAUACUAAUGCAGUUAGGUCUUGGUAGAAGACUACAUUCAGAACAGUUAGGUCUUGGUAGAAGACUACAUUCAGAACAGUUAGGUCUUGAUAGAAGACUACAUUGAGAACAGUUAAGUCUUGGUAGAAGACUCCUUUUGUUACUAAUAGGAAUCAUAGGGAUUUCUAGGGUUUUUCAAACGUUUACAGUUGUUUUACAAACAUUUUCAAUACUUACAAUUCAUAUACUUACAAAUUCUUACAUACAAAUCAUACAUACAAAUACUUACUUACAAAUUAAGACACUAAAAUACUUAUGAUCUCACCAGCUUCAAAGCUGAUACUCGCUUUCAAAAUUACUUGUAUCCUCAUGUCAUCAUAGACAGGUACCGAUGCAAGGAGAAAGGAAGAUGGAGCUUGUUCAAGACUUAUCUUUCAUUUUGAUUUAUGCUUUAGUGUUUAUCAAAAUUUGACAGAACACAUUUGUAUAAUAAUUAUAUUAUUAAUGCAAUGGAUGAUGUUGUUGCUUGUUUACUACUUUACAUUGUUGUGAUAUUAUACAUGACGUCCUCCGCCCCAGAACGUUUCCGCCGUUCUUGGUUUUGGGGUGUGACAAUAGGUGGGUAUGUUGAUAAGAGAAGAAGAAUCAGUAAAUCGAUACCUCCCUCAUCCACAACUCCGAUGAGUCAAUCACUCGAUCUAGCAUAUGAACCCUUGCCUGUACAAUUGGGUAAUUUUUGAAAUGUUGUGGCAAUUGCUCCGGCUCCUCAACUGCUAGAUUUAAAUCUCACCGCGUCCUUAAAUAGCUCAAGUAAUCACAACUCGGUAGUCAAGGAUUCCCCCUCAAAAGAGAUUUCAAGUCUCCUAAAGAUAGGUAAAGAUGUUGGUUUUCAGCUUGCAAGUGAUGAUCCAAUCGUUAACAAUGGGGACGGUGUGGAAAAGAUUCCUUAAUGAAUUUCUUAAUUCCUAAUGAUUGGAUACACAUACUAAAGACCUCAUAAAAGGUAGACUUUAUUGGAUUACAAGAAACAUGGAUGACAGACUCAAACAUGAUCGAUUUUGAAGAAGCUUGGGGAAAUUUAAAUUAUGAGGUGGAUUUUGUAAACCCGGUUGGUAGAUCUGGUGAAAUUGUAAGCAUAUGGGAUCCUUUGAUCUUUGUCAAAUUCCAUACCUUCUCCUCUAGAAAAUUUUCUUGUUAUAUCAGGACAAUGGCUUGGUGUUCCUAUGGAUUGGUGUUCCUGGAAGCGCUACAAUUGUAAAUAUAUAUGGCCCCCAAUCAGUUAGUGACAAAAGGAUACUAUGGGCGGAACUUCUCUAUUUAAUAAGAAGUAUUGAUGGAAUAUGGAUAUUUCUAAGAGGUUUCAACGCUGCCCCGUGAAUGUGAAAGAAUACAUUCCAAGUUCUGUAAAACCACAACCAUUGACUUCAACAACUUCAUCGCCAAAGCUGGUCUCCAGGAAUUCAAUCUUGGCGGAAAGAAAUUUACGUAUAUGUGUGAUGAUGGUUUAAAACUUAGUGUACUUGGUCUGUUCUAACUUCAUUGCUCGACAAUCUCUUUCCACGGUUAUAGUUCUGCCUCGUGAGCACUCGGAUCACACUUCUUUGAUUUUCAAACCGUCGAAUCAAGAUUUUGGGCUACCCCCUUCCGAUUUUUCAACUCCUGGCUGCAUAGAUAUGACUUUGAUUCAAUUUUUACAGAUGCAUGGAACUCCUUUAGUGGUUUUGGUACCCCUGAUAUGUUCUUAACAGCCAAACUCUGUUUUGUUAGAAAAGCGAUUAGUAAAUGGAGGAAUACAGAUGCUGCUAAGGAAUCAAAGGAGUUGAUCCGGUUAAGGAAGAGAGUGGAUGAAAUCGAGAAUCUCGCUGAAUUGAGAAGAUUGUCCAACAGAAGGCUAAAAUGCGUUGGCUAUCUGAUGGAGAUGAAAACACACGUUUUUUUCCAUAACACCACUAAAAGCAAGAACAUAAAAAUAAGUUGCAUGGUCUAAUAAUCAAUGGUGUAUGGAACACAGAACCUGCAGAAAUCAAAAGGGAGGUCCACUCAUUUUUUAGUAACAAAUAUCAUGAAAGAUGGCCGAAGAGACCAAAAUCGAUCAGCGGUGAUUUUAAUGUGUUAUCUAUGGCUUAAAGAGAGCUCCUUGAUGCACCAAUUUCUCAUGAGGAAAUAAAGCAAGCUAUAUGGGAUUGUGGUGGUGAUAAAUCCACUGGUCCAGAUGGAUACACAUUUAAAGUAAUAAAAAAUAAAUAAGACUUAAUGAAAGCUGAAAUUAUUCGAAAUAUAUCCCACUUUGAGUCUUGUGGUAGAUUUGCUAAUGGGUGUAACUCCUCCUUUAUAACCCUCAUUCCGAAAACAAAAAAUCCAUUAAACCUUGGGGAUUAUAGACCCAUAAACCUCAUUGGAAGCAUGUACAAGAUCGUGUCCAAGAUACCUGCUUCAAGACUAAAACUUGUGGUGGGAUCGAUGGUGGAUGAAAUACAAUCAACAUAUAUCGAAGGUAGACAUAUCCUAGAAGGACCAUUAAUCAUAAAUGAAGUGUGCUCAUGGGCCAAAAAGGAAAAGAAAAAAAUAUUUUUAUUAAAUGUUGAUUUUGAGAAACCUUUUGAUUCAUUAAAUUGGAAUUACUUGGACUUAAUUAUGGAGCAGAUGGGUUUCAGUUGUAAAUGGCGUGGGUGGAUACAAGGUUGUCUCAAAUUAGCCAGAGCUUCGGUAUUAGUCAACGGUUCUCCUAUCGAAGAGUUUCCUAUCACCAAGGGGGUACGACAAGGUGACUCGCUCUCAUCCUUCCUUUUCAUUAUUGCUAUGAAGGGACUUAACAUUGCCCUGAAAAGUGCAAAAAAAAUCCAUCAUUCAAGGUCUUACUUUAACACACAAUAGACCACCUUUAUCUCACUUAUUUUAUGUUAAUGAUGCAAUCAUGGUAGGUAAAUGGUGUGAAGCUAACAUAAAGAAACUGGCUAAAAUCUAAAAUGCUUUCAUAUUUGCUCCGGUUUGAAAGUAAACUUUCAUAAGUUACGUUUAUUUGGCAUUGGUGUGAUGGAAUUUGAGCUACAGUGUCAAGCAUGGUUGAUGGGUUGUAUCCACGAUUCAUUCCCUUUUAAUUAUCUUGGGGUACCAGUUGGUGCAAAUAUGGUGUUGAAAAAGAAUUAGAGAGCGAUAAUUGAUAAAUUUCAGUCAAGGCUUUCUAUUUGGAAGGCUGAAACCCUGUCAUUUGGCGGCAACCUUACUCUUAUCAAGUCAGUACUUAAUAGUCUUCCGACUUAUUACCUCUCUCUUUUCAAGGCGCCAAAUGGUAUAAUUGAUGAACUUGAUAAAUGAGAAGGAAAUUCCUAUGGAGUGGUAACGAAUACCAUUCUCGGAUCAUUAGGUUUCAUGGUCUAACGUUGUUGCAUCCAAAAAGGAUGGAGUACUAGGAGUUGGGUUGUUAAAAGCUCAAAACAUAACAUUACUCACAACAUGGUGGUAGAAACUCAAUGCAGGGAAUGAUGGUUUAUGGAAAACUGCAUAAAGAGCAUACAAAAUUAGUUACGGAAACCGGUUACUUUAAUAGCAAAAACAUUGAUAUGUGGGGUUGUAGCGCCCGCAUAUUCGGGCUAAUCAAUUUAGAGACAAUAAGCGUUAAAAAUGACUUUUUGACAGAAGAUUAUUUAGAAUAAAUAGUCUUAACCAAAGUAUAGUAUAUGUCACAAGGAUUCCGUACAUAUAAAGAACGUUGAAAUUCGACUUAUAACGAAGAAGUUAUGACCCGUCAAAGUUUUACGAAUAAACCAGCAUGGCUCCACGUAACGUAAAAAGUAAAUUUUUGACAAAAUACCUUUUAGCUUUCGCAAUCUAAACGAAAGUCAUAUUAUAUGUUAAACCGAGAAACGUACAUAAAAAGAAUGUCUAAAUCUGACUUCGUUUAAGGAAGUUAUGAUUUUUCUAAGAUUUAGCAUAGCAGUGCACAGCCCGAAAAUCGAAUUUUAGAUCGAUCGAUUUUUAGCUGACACCACCUAAACGAUAAUUAAAGAUCUCAUUAAUAGGAGCUCCAUGAUAUAAAGACAUCCUAAAACAAAUGUUGGAUGACAAAGUUAUGAAUUUUUAACAGACUUUAACUGUCUAAGCUUGUUAAAAAAUAAAUUUAAAAAUAAAGUCAAAAUUAGCCGACGGAGUCUAAACGAAAGUUGUAGUUCACGUCGCUACCUACGCGUCGAUAUAAAGAACGUCAAUGUAACAUCCAAAAUUUCAAACAAUUAAAACUUUUCAAAAUCACCCAUUUUAUUAACAUUGAUGCAAAAAGGUUUUCAAUACAUUAUUAAACAGAGAAAUUUCCCAGGUUCAUAUCAUAAACACCAACGCGAGGAACGGUACGAUCACGCCUUUGCCUUGCCACAGACUCUUGAGAACCUGAAACAUAAAACCACAACUGUAAGCCCGAAAGCUUAGUGAUAUACCCCCAGAAUACCAACCACAUAUACGCCUUUCCAGGCCCUGACCUUCCGGUCCGUCACACAACAUAAUCGCCUUCCGGCCCAUAACAUAUUGCCUUCCGGCCCAUAAUAUAAUCGCCUUCCGGCCCAUGACAUACAUAGCACACAUAUAACAAAUAGCUUACCACAUAUAGCAUACAUAUCACAUAUCAUAGCAUUACUCUUACAAGAUACCGGUCUAGCCGGUCACUAUCAUAACAUUACUCUGUAAAUCAGUCAACAUACUAAAUGCACACAUACGCCUUUCCAGGCCAUGACCUUCCUGUCCACAUAGUAAUGCCUUCCGGCCCAUAACAUAUAGCAACUUACAACUACCCGGAUUUCCAUCCGAUAAAAGGGUUGGCGUUGGUGCNNNNNNNNNNNNNNNNNNNNNNNNNNNNNNNNNNNNNNNNNNNNNNNNNNNNNNNNNNNNNNNNNNNNNNNNNNNNNNNNNNNNNNNNNNNNNNNNNNNNCGCGGCAGCCAUCUCUGCGAGAGCCACAUAUCGCUCAUCAAACUACUCAAUCAUGGUGGUCCUGAUCGACCCAAACAAUUCUGGCGACUCAGCCCGCAACAAUGCAGCAACCUCAUCCCGCAGGAUCUCGCGAAUCCUCGCAUCCCGCUCGCUCGUGCUCGUCCGAUCGAUAACCUCCGACGGCACCGAUCCACCCGGAACUCGUUCUCCAGCUCCCGAUCCUGAUCCGGAUCCACUAUCAUCAUGCCUCGAGAUCUCCAUACUGAAGACACCCUACCAAUCUCAGACACUUCCCAAAAUCCUGGGAUCCAACUCUCGCAACCCUACCCUAGAGACCAUGGUUUCCCUGAUACGCGUAUGGGUCCUGUGCUUUCAGUAGUACGGGCCCAUACUACCUUCCACACCUACCCAUAUUUGUAUGAAGUACUACCACAAUACCCUAGGGAACAUGCAUAACAACUAUCAACCCUCACCACUAGAGGAACACUGAGAACAUCCCAUAAGGGACCCUAGGCUACAGGCAUCACAUAUCAGGCAACAUUAUCAUGAAUUCCUGAAGAUCCCUAGCCUAACUCUAGCAUGCUGUGCUAUCAAGCUCAAAUAAACAAAUAUCAUGUAUGGUAUCUUGGGGUUACUUACUGGCUCCGGCUGAUCGUACCUCCGCGUCCUCCUUUUACUUAAUUUGAAAACCAUUUUAAUUUCUCAUUUUAAUUUCUCUUUUUAAAAUCCUCCUCGAUUUGAGACUGGAGUCACACGAAUGUUUCCCCAAUUCACUCAAACCAAGGCUCUGAUACCAACUUGUAACAUCCAAAAUUUCAAAACAAUUAAAACUUUUCAAAAUCACCCAUUUUAUUAACGUUGUUACAAAAAGGUUUUCAAUACAUUAUUAAACAGAGUAAUUUCCCAGGUUCAUAUCAUAAAACACCAACGCGAGGAACGGUACGAUCACGCCUUUGCCUUGCCACAGACUCUUGAGAACCUGAAACAUAAAACCACAACUGUAAGCCCGAAAGCUUAGUGAGAUACCCCCAGAAUACCAACCACAUAUACGCCUUUCCAGGCCCUGACCUUCCGGUCCAUGUGUCUCAGGGGACUUCCGUCCCUGCUGGGUAAACCUUCCGGUCCUACCCACGCCGACCUUCCGGUCCAUCACACAACAUAAUCGCCUUCCGGCCCAUAACAUAUUGCCUUCCGGCCCAUAACAUAUCGCCUUCCGGCCCAUAACAUAUUGCCUUCCGGCCCAUAAGCAUAAAAUGCAUAUAUAACAUAACAAAUAAUCAUAUAGCAGUUCAUAGACAACAAUCGAUCAACAGAUCACAUAUCAUAGCAUUACUCUAACAAGAUACCGGUCUAGCCGGUCACUAGCAUAACAUUACCCUAUGAAUCAGUCAACAUACUAAAUGCAUACAUACGCCUUUCCAGGCCAUGACCUUCCGGUCCACAUAGCAAUGCCUUCCGGCCCAUAACAUGUAAUGACAACUACCCGGAUUUCCAUCCGUUAAAAGGGUCGGCCUUGGUGCCAUAAACCCUAGCGAUAUAGUGAGGAUAACUCACCUCGAAACUGCCGACUGAACAGAUAGCUCAAGCUGCUCCGAUCACUGAUACGAUCUCCACCUCUGGAUAGUCACCAAUGCACUGAACUCAAACGAUAAACAACAAUUACCAAAAUACCCCUGGAACCACUGGUCAAUCCUUGGUCAAAGACAAGGUCAAAGUCAACCCCUGACUGACCCUACUCGUCGAGUCAACCCUGUGACUCGCCGAGUCCCCAUACUCAGAACUUCACUUAACCCGCGACCUAACUCGCCGAGUCACCCCAAGACUCGCCGAGUUCAACGACUCUGAGUCCACUCGCCCUUGACUCACCGAUUCCUUAAGAUUCCCUUUCUACACGUCGAGUAUCCCCUUUUUACUCGACGAGUUCCUCCUGGAAGAAUCGCGGGGCCACCCCGACUCAACUCGCCGAGUCUGAAGAACAACUCGACGAGUCCCAGUUAUUCUUCAAGCUACUCGCCGAGUCUGUUCAUCAGACUCGUCGAGUCCAUGCCAUGCAGUCGAUCAAACUGCUUCCUGAGAUAAGUAUUGCCCCGAAAUACACAAGCAUGGUACCUUCUGGACCUCUAAGGUCCUAAUACAGGGUUAUAGUCGUUUGGGUAACAAGGGUAGCAUUCAAUCUAAUCACAAAAGGGAUUCUCUAAACCCUAAUUCCAUGACACAUCAACAUAGCAGAGCAUAAUUCGAAUUCUUACCUGAAUAAUGUGCCCUCUGUGUCCCCAAAUCCUCAGAACGUGACUCCCUUGCUGUUCCUUUAGCCAAGCCCUUCUCUUCCUUGCACCACAACCCUUCCAAGAUCAACAAUGGCCCUUAAACUUUGCUCCAGAUGCACCCAAUCGAUUUAGGGUUCUUCUCAGAAGGCCAAAAUGAACAAUGACGGCCAAUAAGUGCCUCUUAUACGUCCCAANNNNNNNNNNNNNNNNNCCCAAACCUGAACGGUUAGGGUUUUCGCUAAACAGCGUAGACUCGCCGAGUCCAUAUCUGGACUCGUCGAGUCCAGUCGCGAUCCCGCGACCAAGUCUGCGAUGCUACUCGGCGAGUCUAGGCUCCAACUCGCCGAGUCCCCUCUUAAAACACCCCCAAAUCAUAAUUAUAUCAUUAUUUGAAAUUCCGGGCUGUUACAGUCAAAUUAACAUUCCCCAAAAUAUAUAAAUUUUAACAUUUUCCAUUUGAAAUCUUUUUUAACAUUCUCCAAAAUAUAUAAAUUUUAACAUUUUUCAUGAUAAUAAGGGUAACCCAUAAACUUCUCCCAGUUUAUUUAAGGAUCCGCGAAAUUUAAGAUAUUGUCCCUGAUUUCUUAAACAGGAGUGAUGUCAUGGUUGUCACGAUACCAUUUUAACUUUUUGGUAGUCACUUUGACGGAAAGGAGUGAUGCCAUGGUUGGCUUUCUGGCAGUCACGUUACUACCACACAACAAGAUCAACAUGCCAUUUAGGUGGGAUGGGUUAACACGUUUUUUUUUAAUUUAAACUACAUAGUAUUUUAUAAGAAACAAACAUUUCAUUAAAUUAAAUAGAAAGUUACGACUUAAAACAUAACCUAGACAAGGAUUUAAAAGUAGACUUAAAACAUCACAUAAAACAUCACUUGAAACAUAAGAUAAACAUGACUCCUACUUAUCUUCCAAAUUAUAUUUCUUCAUAAUUUCCGCUUUCACGUUCAUCACAAUUUGACUUAUAUUCUCGGGAAAUUUAAAAACGUCUUUCGAAAGCUCCAAGGAUCGAGUCGUCCUUGGAACUUCGUAAGAGUUGUCUACUUUAAGGUCUAACCCAAUAUGUGCAUUGAAAGAGUAGCUAUGGAUGUUUUCAGACGUUUUAGGUCUUUUGAUAAUCCCAGUGAAAUCUUUCAAUGUUUGAAGUUCAAGACAUUUUUCUUUAUCCUUUACAACUAACCAAAAGUCAACAUUUUUAAUCGCUUCUUCUUUUCUUUGUGAUAUUAUCCGUGAACUUUGGCUAGGGUUUGUGCAUCGUUAGCACCUAGGCUAAGAGCACUUCAUGCUGGCGAACACACCAUUUAACUACAUUGCAACUUUGUUUGUGUUCCUACAUUUCAAAUAAAUUUAAUCUUUCGUGCGGUAUUUGCCUAUCUUCAUUCGGCCAAGAAAACUUUUCCACACUUGUAUAAAAAAAUGUCUACAUUUUGGUCCUUUCCAAUAACAUGGUCCUCCAAAAUGUCAACCAAAUUUUCUGCUAACAUCCUUUCUUCAUGGCACAAGAUUUGUUAUCGGCCUUCCUUUUUUUUCUUCAGGUGGCUCGAGUGUACCUUCAGAUUUGGUUGACGAAUUGGUUUCGAAAUGGAGUUGAGAUUGGAAUAGAUUUUCUUGAAUUGUUCAAAUGGAUCAAAAUCAGGUUGGAGUGGGAUGGGAUUGAGAUUAAGAUUGGAAUUUAUAAUGGUUUUGUUCAUAUGUAUAAUAUAGAGCAUUUAAGGAUAGUUAAACAUUGGUGGUGAAAAGAUGGAUGCAUCAAGUUGAUGUCAGUAGACCAAAGACGAUAGAUGGGUUGAUGAAGGGUUUGAAGCUUUUUAUCUUGUUUCUUCUUGGAGUUUUUUGUUGGCUAGGAGAAGACAUUUUGAAAUUAAGAAUGAAUGGUCGGAGAGAAGAAAUUGAUAUUCUAAAGGUUAUGGUGUGAUAAAAACUGGAGGUUGAUGUCUAUAUUUAUCAUGGUUAAAAAAAGUUAAAAAUUUUGAAUUUAAAAAAAAACAACUAGUUUUUUUAAAAGGUCAAAAAAUAUCAUUUAAUUUGUUCAAAGUAGCAAACUACAAAGAUAUUAUUUAUCUCUUCGGCAAUGGAUUCAUGUGCACCUUCUGCCACCAUGGUGUAGUGCCAAGUUGUUUGCCAUUAUGAAGUCACUCCUUAGGCUUUAAGUAGGGAUGUUAUUCGAGUCGGAAUCCGACCGAACCGACCCGAGCUCGAAUAACUUGAAAACCGAAUAAGGGUAUUGCAUCAACCGAAAACCGAAUUGAUUAACCAAAAUGGGUUUGGUUUGGGUAUUAAUCAGUUCGGUUCGGUUACUACCCAAAUAACAUGUACAAGAUGAUUAAGGACUUAGGCUAUGUUUGGCGUACUAUCUGAAAAGCUAGCUGACGGCUGAAAAGCUAGCUGUUAAAUAAAACGCUAGCUGAUAGCUGAAAAGCUACGGGCUGUUUGAUUUAAGCUGACCGGGUCCAGUCAGUGCUGACUGCUGACUCGGUCAGCAGUCGGAUGUUUGAUAAAUACAAAUUAAAGCUUACUCGGUCAGCCCAUUACUCUUACCUGGUAAGCCAAAAAAACUCUCCUAACUGGAAAUUAGAUACGCGUUUUCUUUUUUUCCCUUUGCCCUCACUCGCCUCCUUCGCUAUCGCUAAUAACCUAGACAAAAUCUGCUCCCGUCUUCUCCUUCUCCAUCGCCAAGACCUGCUGAUCGCCUCCCUCCCCAUCUUCUCCGGCGACGACGCUGCGACGACUUCUUCGGCGACGACACAGGUAACUGCGUGAUUUUUUUUUUGCUUUUUUUAUCUGAAAUCACAACACCCUUCCUGUCUUUUUUAUUUCAACAAGUAGUCCCCUUAUGUGUAUAUAUGCUUGGUAAGAUCAAAAUGCUCAAGACAACAACCCCUUAUGUUUUGAAGAAAUUUAUAUUGCUAGUAAUAAGUGUGAAAUCACAGCCACUUAUAUGGUUGUUAAAUCGAACGAAUUGUGUACUGUGUGUAUAUGAUAUGUUUAUGUGCAUAUGUGUGUAAGAUCAAAAUGCUCAAGACAAUGAUCAGAACUUGUUACAUAGGUAUGUGUGUAUUACCAAACUGAUAGAUGAGAUGUUUAUGUGUAUUAUUUGUAUUUGAUACACUAAAACACAUGAAAACAGAUAAGAAAAAAAUGUAUGUUUUAUCUUAUUGAUAUGUUAGCAAACUGAUAUAUGAUAUGUUAAUAUGAUAUGUUUGUAACGCCCGUAGAUCCGGGCUAUUCAAUUUAGAGACGAUAAGCAUCAAAAAUGAUCUUUUGAUAGAAGAUUAUUUAGAAUGAAUAAUCUUAACUAACUUGUAGUAUAUGUUACAAGGAUUCCGUACAUAUAAAGAACGCCGAAAUCUAAGUUAUAACGAAGAAGUUAUGACCUGUCGAAGUUUCGCGACAGAACUGGCACGACGCUGAAUGACGUAAAAAGUGAAUUUACGUUAGAGUGAUAUUUAUCCUUAGUGAUCUGAAAGUCGUAGAGUUCGUUAAACCGAGAGCGUGCAUAAAAAGAACGCCCAAAUCUCACUUCGUAUGAGGAAGUUAUGAUUUUCCGAAGUUUCGACUUAGCGGUAUGCAGCCCGAAUACUCGAUUUGAGAUUAAGCGGUUUUUUUAGCCGAAACAAUCUAAACUAGAAUAUUGAAGAUCUCGUUAAUAGUAGUGAAACGAUAAAAAGAUAGGCGAAAACGGACGUCGAAUGAAGAAGUUAUGAAUUUAUAACGAAGUUUUCCUGUCCCGGCCUACUAAAAAUAAUAUAUAAGUAAUAUAUUUAUAAUAUAUUAAAAAUAAAGUCAAAAUUAGCCAACGAAGUCUAAACGAGAGUUUUAGAUCAUAAUCUCACCUACGCGUAGAUAUAAAGAACGUCGAAAACGGAGUUUGUAUGCGAAAGUUAUGAAUUUCUUAAGUUCGGGGCGCGAAACCCCAAAACUGUCAGAGACCACGACGUGGCAAGUCUUCUGACACCUCUUGGAGUCCCCCAGACACAACUUGUGAUGACGCAUGCAGUGACGAUCAAGCUCACGACGUGGAAAAAGGUGCCACGACGUGGCAAGGGUAGAUUUUGCCCUAUAAAUAGAUUUGAAGGGCCAGCCGUUUAGGGAUGCUAUUUUCUCUUCUCUCUCUCUCUCUCUCUCUCUCUCUCUCUCUCUCUCUCCCGUUUUACCUCGAUUUACAUGCAAGAAAUAUCCUGAAGCCCCGGUAUCAACCCCGAGACCCGAAACAAGUCUCGAAGCCCGAAGAUCCCGAGAAGAAAAAGAGUUUCCGAGCCGAAGCUCUGCCCGCGAGACACCCGGUAUGUGAAGUGAUCCCGGUUUCACCGAAGAAUACUACUUCUACAAGCCGUAGUGCUGUCCGAUCAUCUUCUGAUCAAGUGAGUGUGUGGUCACUUUCUUCUAACACAUAAAUAUUAAGUAUUUGCUAUGAAAUGCAUGCUAUGUGUAUAAUAUAAAGUUGUUUAUAUGUGUGAGUGUAUAGUCCCUUUCAUAAACAUGAUAUUAAUACAAGUAUUGUUUGAAUGUAUUAAGUAUAUGUUUUGGGUGAGUGUGUAGUCACUCUCUUCUAACACAUAAAUAUGAAGUAUUUUCUAUGAAAUACAUGCUAUGUGUUUAUAUAUUGUUGUUUAUUUGAGAUAAGUGUGGAAUGGAUGUUUUAUAUAGUUUUUUUUAAUGAGUUAAACUGUAUAUGUAUUUUAUAUCUACAAAUAUGUUAGGUAGAACGUGGGUAGAUGAGAUAGUUGGUAUGUGAUAAAAUGAUGAGGUAUGAAAGAUUAUUAAGCAUAAUAUUGGUAGAUGCACCAAAUAGAAAAUGACAUAAUGCUAGCAGAGGCGCUUAAGCAUAAUAUUGGUAGAGGCACCAAAUGGAGAAUAUCAUAAUCCUAGUAGAUGUACUUAUGGGAUAAUCCUGGAAGAUGCGCUUAUAGGAUAAUAUUGGUAUAUGAACCUAAAAGAAAAUGUCAUGAUGCUAGCAGAUGCGCUUAGGAAUAAUAUUGGUAGAGGCACCAAAUAGAGAAUGUCAUAAUACUAGCAGAUGCGCUUAUAGGAUAAUCCUGGCAGAUGCGCUUAUAGGAUAAUGUCGGCAGAUGCGCCCGUAAGAGAAUGUCAUAAACCUGGCAGUCGCGCCUCAUAGUGUAUGACGUAAUCCUGGCAGAGGCACUUAAAGGAUGAUGUUGGUAGAUGCGCCUUCUGUAGCAAUGGAAGUUUGUGUUAAUUCCUUAGGUCAGUCCUUAGGAAUGAAUGAAGGAAGGAUAGUUGAUUAAUAGGGUAAAACCUUGAGAAAUAAAGAAGAUAAUGGGGAUGGGUAAUUGGGUUGAUUGUUUGAUGAUUGAAUAUAAUAAUUAUAUUAUUGUGGGUCGAAAACCCUAUAUGCUCACCAGGCUCCCAAGCCUGACCCACUCAGUUUUUGUUUGUAUCACAUGUAUCAAUACGAAGACGUAUUUCACUGAGAGAUUAAAAUAGAUGUAAAUCAUUAGUGUAAAUAAAUGUAAGUUCUGUUUAUGCUUAUGUGUCUGUAUCUGAACAUGACAUCCUGAGAUUUUGUUAUAUAAUGAAAAUACAUUUCUUUAAAGGAAUACUUUGAUAAAUUCUUAUGAUAUUUUGUUUUGGGAACAAAUUCCGCAACUGUUUUCUUUAAAAGAUUACUCUGAUUUUAAAAACAAGCAUAAACACACCGGUCUUUUCUGGCCGUGAAAUUGGGGAUGUCACAAUAUUUAUGUGUAUUAGCAAACUGAUACCAUAUAGUUGUAGUAAUAUCAAAGUUGAAUCUCUGAAGUCUUGUCUUCAAGUUGUUUUAUCUUUAGGUUAAACAAAAAAAUAUAUGUUUUAUCUUAUUGACAUCAAGCACAUAUUGUUAGCUAUAUGUAAAUGUGUGUUAUGCGGAUGAUUAGCUUAUCACAUUUAUGCUUGAUUUAUUUGUAAAUGUGUGUUAUGUGGAUGAUUAGCUUUUUUUUUCUUUUUACAAUNAUAAAAGAAUUAGGGUUAGUUGGAAGUCGGAAUUGGUGGACAAAACUUUUUUGGAAGCAUGUAUACAAGAAUUAACAAGCAAUGGCCGGGAGGGUAGUGGACUAAAAGCAAGCUCAUGGGAUGUGGUCGUGGAGAAAUUGAAAACAGAUCAUAGUUUUAUUGUCGACAAAAAACAAAUGAAAAACCGAUACGACUAUUUAAAAGCAAAGUAUGUAGUGUGGUNAAUUCUUUUAACAUGACUAAUGAAGAAUGGGAAGCGGAAGCGAAGGUACAUAUAUACAUAUUUUUUAAAGUAGAUUAUUUUUUUACUACUUUAAUAAUAUUUAUUAAAUUUGUCAAACAGUUGAACAAGUAUGUAGAUAAGCUGAGAAAUGCACCCCUCCCUUGCCCUGAACUUUGUACCCAACUAUUUGAUGGGGCGACCUCGACCGGUGUUCACAGUUGGGGGCCAUCUUCGACAUUACCUCAUCCCAAUGAAACCUUCAGUACACAUGAUUUUGAGGAUACAGAGAUGGAUGAGCCAGCACCUCAUGCAGAUACCCCAAGCUCAACAGUACCUCAACCUACUAGUGAGGAAUCAUCUGGGCGGACAAAAAACAAGGGGGGCAAACGAAAUGGUCCUAAAGAAACCACACUUGAUGAUGAGUUGAAAGAAGUUGGAAAAGAGAUUAUCAAGGCUGCACAAGCAUUCACCGAAGCAAAUAAUCUUGACAAGGAGAUGGAUGCUUGUAUGGCGAAGUUGACAAGCUUGGAGUGGGGAGAAUAUGAUCCGAAAUACACCACUGCUCUUAUGUUAUUUGCUGAAAGUGUUGGUAAUAGGAAAAUUUGGUUGCACCUUAACUUGUCAACAUGUGAGUCAUGGGUAACAAAUGCAGGAAGAAAGUUUGGAUUAGUUGGUUGACUUUAGUAUUUACAUGUUACGUUUGACUUUAGUAAUGGAUUGUUUUUCUUAGGUGUGGUUAUGUUAUAUGAAUUUAUAUGUUAUGGAAUGUUAUGCUUUUUGUAUUUACAUGUUACGGUUUGUUAUGUUAUUGAUUGUUAUGUUAUUGAUUAAAAUGUAAUUUGUAUUUGACAUCUAACAGGACACAUGGAUAAAGAAGGUGACUUUUUAUAUUUUCUUAUAUUCUCGUGGUAUUGGUUGAUGUUGGUCCGACAAAGGCAAAGAAUAAUUAAAAGAAUAAGAGCUAGCGAACAGGUAGCAAAGGGAUAUGUGUAUACGCAAGAUUUGAUACACGGAUGUCCUAUACAAUGUUACGAUAUGAUACGUCUUUCACAAGAUGCAUUUGUACUAUUAUGCAAUCACUUUACACAAAUAAAUUGGUUGCAAUCUAGUAGGACGAGAAGCGUUGAAGAGAAGAUGGCUAUGUUUUUACAUGUUAUAGGACAUAAUGAACGUUUUCGAGCCGUUAAAGAAAGAUUUCAUCACUCCACACAAACGAUUCAUCAAUGUUUUCAUGAGGUCUUAUGUGCAAUGAUGUGUUUUGCACAAGAAAUUAUAGUAUCAACCUUGUCUAAUUCAGCAAGAAAUACCUCAGAACGACAUAGACGGCUAAUGCAGAUAUUUCCUGGAGCAAUAGGUGCACUAGAUGGAACACUUGUACAUGCAGUUGUGCCUGUUGAUCAACAAACUCGUUAUAGGGGAAGAGGAAAAGGUGAAUGUUAUCAAAAUGUAAUUGGAAUUUGUAACUUUGAUAUGAUAUUCACCUUUGUAUGGGCUGGAUGGGAGGGCAUAACACAUGAUUCUAAAGUUUUGAAAGAAGUUGCAUUUAACCCGACUUCCAGAUUUCCAUUCCCUCCACCAGGUUUGUAACUUUACUAUACGUUUUAUUAUCUGUAUUAUUUAUAUGAUAAAUUUGUCAUACAUCUACAGAUAAAUAUUACCUUUGUGAUGUCGCAUACACCAACACCCGUGGAUUUAUGGCUCCCUACCGCAAUACUAGGUAUUGGUUAGCCGUUUUUCGAAGAAACAGAGCUUUGACUAAGGAAGAAAUGUUCAAUCAUGCUCAUGCAUAACUUAGAAGGUGAGAUUUCCAAUUUUAAAACAAAUGGUUCCUUAUCCUUUUCCAGUGCAAAGAGACAUAGUCAUUGCUUGUGUUGCGGUCCAUAAUUUUAUAAGGAAAUACGAUAUUGAAGAUGAAUUAUUUACAAACUUUGAACAAAACACUAUGGUUACUCAUAAUGUGGGUGCUGGAGGAAAUAAGGGUCAAAACAUAGAAAGCAUAGAAUGGGGUUCAGAAGUCGUUAACUAUAUGACUACUUUGCGUGACCAGAUUGCUAAUCAGUUACUUUCAAAUGGUUCACGUUAAAUGGUGUACUUUUUUUUUAUUAUGUAUGACAAUUUGUAUUUGGAUUUUGUAUUAACUUUGUAUUUGGAUUUUAAUUGAUGUAUGUUUAAUUUGGAUUUUAUAUGAUAAUUUGUGUUUUUAUAAUUUUUUUAACCAGCACAAGAGACAACACAAUGGUAAUAUGGUCAUUUUUUCAUUCAGCCCAACCAUUCAGAUAAAUAAUCAAACAGCAUAAACUCAGUCAGAUAUGGACUCAGUCAGCAUUUCUAACCCAGUCAGCAACUAUCAAACGACCCCUAACUGAUAAAAAAUAACGUUUGGUAAAACUAGCUGAAAAGCUAGCUGAAAUAUAUAAAAUUACAUAAAAGGACAUGUAAGAAUAUGUGUUUCUAUAAUUAAUUAAGGGGUGUGUUUGGAAAAUUUUUAAAAAGCUUCAAAAAAGCUAGUCUAAGUAGCUUUUUAAAAAAAACAAGCUUAUAAGCUACUUUUUGAAUUACCAAACACGACAAUAUAAAAAAGCUUGUGACGUGCCAACACAGCCUUAAUAUAACUGAAAAAAAUUGAAUAAACCUUAUUAUGAUUCUAUAACCCAAAUAAUAUAAUAACAAUAUACUUUUAUACAUCAACAUAAAACAUUCAAAGACUAACAUAACACAAUAACACAUUUAAAAAAUAACAUUUUCAUAGUAGAUUAACAUAAUGAGAAUUAAUUUCUUACUUGAGUUUCUUGAGUUGGAGCCCAAUUUUUCAUGAUUAGACAAAAUAGGAAUUCGUAAAUCCUUAAAGACAAUAUGAAUGGUCGAUUUUUGAAAGUAUGAAACAAGAUGAAUGAUCGACAAAAGUGAUUUCAAGUUUGAAAAUAGUUGAGAAGAUUGAUCGAUUUUGAAACGACGAGAACGAGGGUUUUUUUUUUUUUUUUUUUUUUUUUUUUUUUUUUUUUGUAAUGAAGAACGAAGAUAGAAAUGUGAAUCGUGAUUUUGAUUUCUUAUGAUCACAGAUAAUGGACGAGGAACGCUUAUUCACGUCGGGUAUUUAAGAAAACAAGUGUUACAAAAUAAGAAAUUUACCAAAGCUGUAUAUGUAACAAAAAAUCUAAAAAAUUACAAUUCUAUACAACAUUACAUACUAUUCAUUGAACCUGUGUAGUCCCUGUUUUACAAUAUUUUGCAUAGAGACCACUACAGAGGGGCAAAUAUUCAGUCGACUUUAACCAUUCAUCUGCUCCAUGUAAAAACGACUGAAUCCCCAUCUUCUCAAGAUUCCUUCUUGAAUUAUUAUGAUAACCUGCCCAUCGGACUCUCUUCCUUGUGUCUGCACCAGGUCCAAAGUUAUUAUACUCAAUGUAUUCAACAGUCUCCAGGUUGCUAUAUUCAUUCCAUGGACACCAACCUUGUGGAUCUAUAAUGUCACCUAGAUAGCUUCUCAUCACGAUCGUUCUCGAAUAGUUCCUCCAUGGCCGACCUAGAAAUGUUGAGAAAUUCGCUCGUUCCUUCACUUUGAAGUCCGGUGCUGCCAUUAUCGUGCAGUCCUGGAGGGAUAUGCCGGUGUUCUGGUUUGGAUCUAGUCUGCCUUGUGCUGUGAUCACGUUUUUUUGACCUAGAAUUGGUUUGCGAACGAGGAUCAGGCAUCGUUCGAAGAUUGCUGCUGCGUUUCCGAAGAUGAAAUCGAUUGUGCCAUGGAUUGCACAUUCUCGGUAGAGCUGGCUGAGGGAGUGUGCGUAGAGUGUAUCCUGAUGGGAGAUGAAUUGACAGUGAUAGAACGCAGCGUCGGAGGUUACUCUUAGCGCCACCGCUUGAUGCUUCUCUGGACCGGAGGUGUUCAUGAUUGUUAGAUCCCUAGCGAGAAAGUUGUUCCCCACAACAGCUGCGCCGAUCAAAUCAAUGUAAUUGUAAAUUUGUAAUUGUAAUUAAUCAAACGAAUUGAAACUCGGAAGGAGUAGGAUUAGAAUUCGAAUUUGAUACGUACUUAGUGUUGCGGAGGUGAAGGUGGUGUAGCCAUCGACGAAGUUUUUGUUGCUGGUGAUUAUGGUUGAGUUCAUUCCGUCUCCGACGAGCAUGAUGUUAGCCUUAUUUCUAGGAAUCACGAGAUUCUCCUUGUAGAUCCCUGCUUUGAUUUGAAUCACGUGUCUACCUUUGCCUCGGCUGGGGGCCGCUGCAACUGCAGCGGCGAUAGUUGUGAAAUUUCCGGUGCCGUCUCUAGCUACAACGACGGUGGGCGGGAUAAUUCUGGAAGAUGUCUGCAUCAGUCUCCGGUCAGCGGCGGUCAUCCACGACGGGACAUGAUCACGGUAAACGCCCUUGGACAUAAGACGUGAAUCUUUGAAGGUGUAGAUGGAGCCGAUAGUCUCGAGGUAGUUGGUGAUGGCUAAGCAGUUGCUGAUCAUUCGCAUGAUCGGUGUCAGAGAUUUCUGAAAUAAGCGGCCAAAUCGUGUCUGGCUGGGGCCGUUGAGUUUUAAGUCGGCAAAACCUUCAAUGCAGGUGUUCUCGUUAGUCAUGGCGGCACUGAGGAGGUUCUUGAUGGCGGCAUACGGUGGUGGAUCAUCGUAAGGAGGGGAUAAGUGGUUCAUUGAUUCUUGGAGUUCGUAUUGCGACAAAUCAAGCAAUUCGAGGCAAUUCUGGACCCAAUUUUUUUCUCGAACCUUCAAAUUCAUGGCGGCCAUUCUUGAACGUGUUAUGGCCAGACGAUUGAUGGUUUUCUGGAUAUAGAAUUUAAGGACAUUGCGCGUUUUUGUAUGGUUGUCGUGGUGGAGAUUAAUGGGGAUUGAGGAGAUGGUAUUGAAACAGAGAGAAGGGUAGAGAGUGGUGUCGCAGGUGCUUUUGAUGAAGGAAUGUGGUGGUGGUGACGGCGGAGGUUGGAGGAUGAGUGGUGGUGGUGUUGAAGAAUGGUGGUGGUGGGUGGAGGUAGAGAAUAAGAAAGAAGAGAGGAGGAUGAGCAUUGCUACCGGAAUUAUUGUUGUCAGAAGGAGUGAGGAAGAUGAGGACGACGAUCUUGGUGACUUCUUGAAGCUGAAGGAGGCGGAGGGCUCCAUUGUUGACCGGUUAUGGAGUGGUGAUUUCUCUGGAAGAAGACGGUAAAUUUGUAAGAAGUUAACCUCUUUUGAUUUUCAUUUACGUUUAGUCGCUUUAUAUGAAUUUUUAUUUAUGAUAGAUGCAAUAAAUUGGUGUUUUAUAGAAAACUAGAUUAUCACCAGCGGGAGACAUAUAAAAAGAUACAUAUAAAUGUAAAAUUAAUCCUAAUAACUAAUCAAUGUUUUCAAAAGAAUUAUUAAUUUACAAGGAUAGAUGUUUUAUUUGUAAAAUUAUAAUGAUUAGUUAAAAUUAAUCUAUACAUUGGGAUAUUUUAUCGACGUUCUGGACGUUCUGGACGUGUAGAUAUUUGAUAUAACAUAAGUGUAUAAUAGUUAAUUUAAACUAAUCAUUUUUCGAAGAUACGAACGUUGUUUAAAAAUUGUAAUCUUAACCAUAUAUAUGUGCUAAUAUUGAUUCUUGUAAUUGUGAUUUACACAGUAUAGACAACAUCAACACCAAUUUUUUUGUUAAUUUUGCUAAGUUUUUUUUUUUUUUCAUUUAAUAGUACUUAUUAUAUGUGCUACUUUGUCUCUAAAACCUGAAAGAAAAUUCCAAGUAAAUUAAUGACUAUAAACAAUAAUUACUUAAAAUUUACAUCAAGAGACAUUCAAACGAUAACUAAUUCCAACACUUGAAAAGGCUUCAGCAUCAUCAGCUAAAUUGUCGGGUAGAAACUAUAAAAAAAAAUAGUCAAAAUGUUGAAAAAAAAAACUAAAAAUUAACAUUUUUAGCAUUCUUUAGAAGAUAAGAUACUAUAUAAUGGAUAACAAUAGUAUAGAUUGAGUACCUUCUUUGCCAACUUUCUCCAUAGCGUUAGCAAUAAGUUCACCGAUCUCCCUUUCAGUACACAUACAUACUCUUCUUUGAGUUUUUUUUUGUUCAUAGACGAUAACCGAAUGAUCGUUUAUUGUUUAUAUAAUCUCGCUGUCAUGAAAUAUGGAUGCAAAACAUAUGUUUCUUCCAUCCAUCAUGCUGAUUAAAUCUACAAAUUUGAUUCGUAUAGAAAGAAAGAAAGAAGCAUCUCGGUUUUCAAAUAUUGUUAUUUUCCACGUUUAAUAAACAUUUGAAUGUAAGCACAUUAAUAUAUUUCGGUUAGGGAGGAUAGAGUCAUGGUAAAAUUGGGAGGUACCAUUGGUACCUCCAAGACACUACUCCAACUUGAGUGGGCAAGGAGGAGUGGGUUGUUUAUGUAGCUUCACUAACCCGCUUCCUCUUUUCUCUCUCUCUCUCUCUCUCUCUCUCUCUCUCUCUCUCUCUCUCUCCUCUUGUACCAUGUGUCUUAAAACUUAUACCUUAGUUUUUUUGAAUUUUUUUAAAUUGAGUGGGUUGAAAAAGAUAAGGUUUCCAUGUGUUGUGGGUUGGAAAAGAUGGAAGAGAGAGGAGAGGAAAAAGUUGAUAUAGUAGUGGUUCAUGAAUGAUGGUUUCCAUAUUGAUAGGUAAUCGUAAAAGCUAGAUAAUAUAGUGAGUAAUUCCGUUCCAGAGACAUGUUUGUGAGGCAUGGAAUGGAACAUAAUGAAAAUUUAAUACGAUUUUUAUGUUAUAUAUUGCAAUUUAAAUUAUAAAUAUAAUCUUUCACAUAUAUUUGUUUAGUUAUUAUUAUGUAAUUUAAAAAGGUUUAUAUUGCAACUUUUAUACUAAUGUCUUAUCUUAUUGCCGAGAAAACCUUGAUACUCACAAUGUUCCCAACCCUAUUUUCAAGAGUGUAGGGUAUAACCAUUUAUCCUUGAGAAAGUAAACUCAAUAAGAAGAUUCAAACCAGUUAAACGAAAUAAUAAGGUUAUGCAAGGUUCUUAUUAUACUUCUCAACAUGCCCAGACAAUGCAAAUACUUGCAUAGCAUCGAGUUCACAACUAAAACGUAUUCCAAAAACACAAAACGAAAAUUAGCAAUCUGAGUUCUAUGUAUCUCUCUUUUGAAAAAACAGAAUAAUAUGUAAUAGAUAAAUUGGAAUACAUUUUUUCAUAAAAAAAACCAACUAAGUAACCAAAAGUAAUCAAUCAUAAAUAUUUUCCGAGGUAAUGUAUUUACAUGGUAUACUAAAACUUUGUAUUUUCUUUGCUAUUAAGUCUAAAAGAUGUUUUAUAAUAUUAAAAAGGGAUCGGUGAAUAACUCCUUUCUGAGAGCCUUAUUUGUGUUUUUAUAAAAAGAUGUUUUUUACAAUAAAUCAAAACAAAUAUCACUACUGGGUUUUGCUGAGUUAUAGGAUAUGUGGAUCACUCAUUCGUAUAAGGGUUUGAAUUUCAUCUCUAAAUCCAGGAAGGGAUCAAAUGGGUAAAGCAUUAUAGACAUUGACUCAGGUAUAUCUUCCAUUCACGAUUUUAUAAGCCACAAAAAAAUCAUUGACUAAACACAAAUACUAAAAACGUAAAAAUAAAAAAUAAAAUCGACAUAUACAAAUUUACUACCUAGUGGACAUAUCUUCCAAAUUGAAACAAUGGAUGAGAGGUAGUGGUGCUAUUGUGUCCAUCUUUUUGCUCUCAGAUACCUAUAACUUAAAAAAUCAAAAUCAACAAUACAUAUCAUAAGAAGAAAAAUCGAAGCAGAUUUAGAAAACAUAACCAUUAUCAAUCUAAACUUAAAUCGAAAAGUUUUAUAAAUUGGAACUUCAUAGUUGAAACAGAAUAAAAUAAACAUAAUCUAAAACUUAACCAAAAUCGAUCUAAACUACGAUCAAAUUAAAGUAGAAUCCAAAUAAAAUUUAUCUCUAUAUCAUUCCUAAUUCUUUCAUGAUGAUCGAACACAAGAUUAAUCCAUACAGAUCGAAACCAACAAGUACUCUAUUUCUUCUUUCCUCUAUUUUCUUCUCCAGUACAAAACUUAGGUUAUAUAGAUUAUGUAAAGAAAUGAGGAGAAAGUGUAGGGAUACUGGUAAUAAGGGGUGCAGUGGGGUAUUUUUUUAUUUUAUUUUUGGUGAAAUUUAAUUGUCAUUAAUAGAAUUCCUUAUUUAAUUUAUUUUAUUUUUGGUGAGAUUUAAUUGUCAUUAAUAGAAUUCCUAAUUUAAUUAAUUUUAUUUUUGAUGAGAUUUAAUUGUUAUUAAUAAACUUCCUAAUUUAAAACGUAAUAUAUGUUUUAUAAAUUUGGUGGACAAAAAUAAAAUGAUUGACAAAGAUGAUGUCAGCAAAUAAUCUAAUGGUGGAAAAUAUAGUAUUGAAAUGCAAUCAAUGGCUCUGAUUUCUUCAGUUUACAAUUAAAGGUUCUCUUUAAUUAAUAUUUAGACAUAUGCAAUUUUAUUUUAUUUGAGGAGUAAAUGUUUAACGUUUUUUGAACACGAAUCACCAUUUAAAUUAUGUUUAUUUUAUAUCUUGUUUUAAUAAUUAUUUAUAACUCUAAAAAAACCUAAAGUUUCAAAAUGCGAGAAUCUGUUGUUGAUGUAAAUUCUUAUUGAUAUAAAACCAAUGUUUUAAAAUCCAGGUUUUUAGUUGACCCGGUGUGAUGAUCGGUUUACGGUUCAACCGGUUGAACUGUCGGGUCAACCCGGUUUAUGGUCUUUUUUUGUUUUUAUAUAUUUUUACUUUUUUGCAUACUGCAUAGAUAUAUAAAACCAAUAAUUUGAUGUCCAUAAAGUUUAAACAUUGAAAAACAUAUCAAAAUAUGUUAUAGAUUAAUCUAAACACAAUAAACAACCAUAUAGAGUAUAAAUAACAAAACAAAAUAUAGUUGUAGACGGAUCCAAACGCGCCACGACCAAACCAAAUCAUGGAUCUUGAGAUUUUGGAGUAGUAUAAGCAUCGAUCUCGCGGUCACUUAGUAAUUGAAAUUCACUAUCAACUUCAUGAUCAACAUGACCACCUUAUGAUUGAGAAGUCGGUUCAUGUUCUUGCUCAUCAAACAUAUUUUUCAAAUCAUCAUAAUUAAGUUCUCCUUCCCGCUCUUCUUCAACCACCCAAAAUCAUGUCUUAUCAAUAUUUUCUUAGUCAUGAGGGUCGUAAGACCUCAUAUCAACCUCCAAUCUACAAAAACAUUCACAAAAAUCUCAAAUAUAACUUGGUCAUUUUAUAGCAUAGUAUAUCUAAUAUCUUAGCAAGAUACCAUACCUAUUUUGUAAACGCAAGUUGUAAUGAACAAAUACAAGAUCAUUUAGCCUUUGAUGUUCCAACAUAUUCCUCCAUUUCGUGUGAAUCCUUUCAAAUACACUCCCAUUACGUUCACAACCAGAAGAAGAUGCGGUUUGACUUAAUAUUCUAAUAGCAAACUUUUGCAAAACCGGAAUAUCUCCGCCAAAUAACUUCCACCACUCAUCUACAAAAGAUAUAAUUAGCAAAAAAUAUAUUAGAAAAUACAAUAUUUUAUAUAUAAUAAUAACACAUUAAAUUUAAUCAUACAUGGACGAGUAAGAUUACGAGAAGCAACGACACUAGAUCUACCAAAGGUACCAUCAGCAUCACGAAACAUGCUUAAAUUUAAUGUAAUAUUUAAAACGUCAUCACCUUUAAAAGUCUUCUCAACCAUUUCAAGAACGCCUUGAGAAACCUCAUUCUUCUUACAAAGAUUUGCAUGAUCAUACUGAAAAACGAGAUUCAACCAAUAAGCCAUUUAAUAAAUACUUUUUAAUAGCAAACUUUUGCAAAACCGGAAUAUCUCCGCCAAAUAACUUCCACCACUCAUCUACAAAAGAUAUAAUUAGCAAAAAAUAUAUUAGAAAAUACAAUAUUUUAUAUAUAAUAAUAACACAUUAAAUUUAAUAAAUACUUUUUCUUAACAUCCUAUCCCGACGACUAUCAAUUAUGUUAGUGUAAGGCCUGUAUAAUCUUCUUCAUAAACAAUUCCUUAACUCCUCUCCUUGUCCGACGCAUUCCCUCGUAAACAUAACCAAUUAUAGAUUUUUCAUCUGAAUCACACAACCGCAAAAGCUUUAACAAGUGAGUUAUUAGUUUCAUUGUAAUCAAACAAUUCUUCCAAAAGAUUUCAUUCAAGACAAUCUGUUUACAUUCAACCGUAUUUCCCACUUUCAACAUCUUCUUAAACUCGUUAGAUAUGACCAUUGCUUGUAAAUCUGCUUUAUGAUCAUACAAACUUUGCAAUGUAAUGAACACGGUACCAAACCGAGUAGCACCUAGACAGAUGAUUUCUUUCCAACGAGGUCUUUAUCUUAACCAAUUCAACGACCACUUAUGAUUAUAAACGAAAACAGUAACCCUCGACUCAAGAUUGACCAAACUUUUCACAUUAUCCAAUUCUGAAAGAUCCUUAAAUACAAGAUUAAGACAAUGCGUUGCACAUGGAGACCAAGUAAUAGAAGAAUAUCUUUCACAUAACUUAGUAGUGACGUAGCCAAAAUUUUAUUUUAGAGUGAGCCAAAUAAUUUAUAAAAUAUGAACGAUAUAUAAAAUCUAGAAUUCAGAAUGGGGUNCCAUAUCAUAUAUAUAUAUAUAUAUAUAAACUUAAAUUUUUAUGGGUGAGUGGCCCACCUUUGCCUCUAUGCGGCUAUGCCACUGUAACAUAGUACCAACAAGCUUGUAAUUAGCAUCAUUAUCAAUUACCAUUUGAACCACAUUUUUUUCUCCUAGCAUUUCAACAAUCUCAACAAACAAAUCACACAAAUUUUUAGCAUUGCUCUCUAUAUCAGAUGCAUCAACAGAUUUAAGAAAAGAUAUCCCUUUUGGACAAUAAACCAAGAAAUUAAUCAAAUGGUGUUGCAUAAUAUCCCUCCACCCAUCACUUAUAAUUGUGCAACCAGUAUCAACCCAUUGACUUCUAAACGAAUCAAUUAACAAUGAAGUUGGCUUUUUUGCAUCUGUCUAUAAAUUAACCCUCAGAGCAUGAUAAUUAGGUGCUUUGUACCCAUAUAACCAAUAUUUGCUACUUAAUCUACCAUAAGUUGAAAAAAAGGAAAGUUGCAAGCAUUCAUAGGUAUACAUGCUUCAUAAAGCCACAUAGCAAUAGUUAAAGCCACAUCAUGUAUUUUUGCAUUACUUUGCAUCGCAAAUUUGAUAGUGGGUUGGGAAAGAUCAUUUAUACCUUUCAUAAAAAAUAGAUGCAAGUUUGAAGUAGAUUUCAUUUUUUCCUUUUUUCACAGUUGACAUUUCUGCUUCCUCCAUCUCUUCAUCAUCAUCCAAGAUAGUAACACUAGUCGUAUAUUUUUCUUUUUGGGCAGUCUCUUUCAAUUUCCCUUGCAUAGUAAACUGCACUUCUUGACUAACUUUUGGGCAUGAUACUACCUCACCUUUAAUACCGACAAGAUGUUUCUUAACCCUGUUUAUUCAACCACCACCUAUAACUUUUUGACAAAAAUUACAUAUCUAUGCCCUUUUCCCCUUCUAAUCGACUUGAGUUACGUGUUCCCACGCUAUAUUUGUCUUUGUUCGUACAUUUGAUUGAACCGAAGAAUGAGAUUGAGAUUGAGAUUGUGCUUGUAAUGGUUCUUAUACCCUUGAUUCCAUAUUUAACUGCAAUGAAAAGAAAUGUUAUAAUCAAUAAACAUAUGUCAAUUGGAUCCUAAUUACACAAUCUACACAACCAGAAACCUUGAAACAAUGAUCAAUUAACAAUAAAUAAUCAGUAAACUAACCAAAAGUGUCACUUGUUUCAAAAGAAAACUGGUUUCAAAAGAAAAGAUUUCAAAAUUGAAUUUAGAUUUCACUUGUUUCAAAUCAAAAAAAAAGUUUUGUAGGUUGUUUUGCAACAGGUUUCAAACCAUGAUGAAAUUGAUUUCACAGACGAUAGGAGAAGCUAAAAAAAGAGGUUUCAAAACCAUGAAAUCAAAACAAGUUUCAAAAGAUGAAAUCGAAAAAGAAAAAUAUGAAACAGACUUCACAAUCGAUAGGAGAAGUCAAGAAGAAAGCACCACAUUAAUCGAUCGAAUAACAGGAGAAGAAAAACUCACCUUCGUUGUUUUGCAUCGAAGUUUGGAGUAGGAAGAAUCGAAGAAGCCGCAAAUGGCUGGUGUUUUGGCACUCGCUACUUGUAUCCAACUAUCCAAGCCCUAUUAAAACAGGCAAAUCUGGUUUUAACUGGUUCGACAUAAACGGUUUGACCGCGGUUUAGGGGAAACCCGACCAGUUCGAUCCGGUCCGUAUUUUUACAAAAAUAUGUUCUCAACUGACCUGCCUUCUACCCCGGGUCACGGUCCAACCAGUUGAACCGACCGAGUUGACCCGGGUUUUAAAACAUUGUAUAAAAUUUUAAUAACGGGUGAAACAUGUGAUUUCUUUCUAGAGUCAAAAUUGUGAUGUUUAGUCCCUAAAAAAUGUGUCAUCAAUUUUAUACGUUGUUUUUGAUUUAUUUUUGUUAAGGGUAACCAAGUUCAGUUUUUUUGCAUAUUUAGUCGUUAAAUUUAUUUUUGUGUUCGAAUUAAACUUGUUGAAAUUGUUUAAAAAAUCCCAAUAUUACCAAAUAUAGUAGGUAUUUUUGGUUUCCACCGUUUUUUACCAAUUAAACAUUAGUUUUCGGUCACCUUCUUCGAUCAAGAAUGAUUUUUCCUUCUAAAUCGAAGAAUAAACACACCACAACCUAGAAAUUAAUCCUUUCAAUUUGUUCAAGAUUUAGAUUCCUUCAAAAAUCAAGCCCUUCAAGUUUUCAACCUAGAAAUCAAAUAUUUUAACUUUUACAUUUAAACUCGAUCAAAAGUUUAAACACGUCAAACUUCAAAUCACAAACGAACAUGGCAUGCAGAACUGAUACGUUUUUAACCCUAAAUCACGAAUAAGAUCUGAUCUUCAUGCUUUCUAAUAAUUAUUGGGUUUCGGUAUCAAGUUUCGAUUCGUAAAUUGUUUUUUCUGAAAUCGUGCUUUGAGACCUAACUUGUGUUUCUUAAAGCGAUGGGUUUCAAACCCUAAAUCGUGUUUUUAAUGGGUUUCGAACCCUAAAGCAUGUUUAUGAAAUCGAACCCACACAAACAUAUCGGCAAAGAAUAAUAUGUUAGAUAUUGAAAUUUAUGACAAAUGAGUUUUAAAAUACAAAAAUAUUUAACUAAUUCCUUGUUUAUCUAAGAUUGAUUCAUUUACUGUUCUUAUUUCUACAUUGUCAUUCAUAUUGUGUGAAUACUAGUUCCUACAUAAUCUAGUGUCCAAUAUUGCUUAGAUUAUGUGUUCUUGAGUUUGAAAUAAAAAGUGAAAUUUUUUUUUAAAAAUAUGGCAUUCAAAAACUCAUGUGGUCAAAAAAUCCAUGCUUAGCCGUAGAAGAUGACAGUAAGGUGUUUUUUUUUAAUUUGACCUCUCUCUCUCUCUAUUUAUCUAUAUAUCUAUUUAUUUCUCUCUCUAUCUGCUUAAGCUAGUAAUGAUUCUUAGGGUUAUUUCUCUUUCUCAACUUUGUAGUUCUAAAUUAUUGUGUCGGUUAACCGUGCACGCUCCACUAACGACUCAUAAAGACAUGAUGUGUGUUUUCAUAAAUUAACAUACAAUUGUAUAUUUUUCCGUAAUUAGAGUGAGAUUUUUAUGUAUGUUCUAGUACUUUAUGUUAAUACUUUUAACGUGCAAUAUCUCACAUAACGACCAUUUUGGCUAAUAACAAUCCAUAACACAAAGAAGCGGUGCAUGAAAAGGACAUCCGUUGAACGAUCAUUUUAUAGAUUGUUUCUUUAUGCAUCCUAUAAUAUGACUUCAUGAAUGAGUCUUAGUUUUGGUUUGACUGGCAAAUUAUUANNNNNNNNNNNNNNNNNNNNNNNNNNNNNNNNNNNNNNNNNNNNNNNNNNNNNNNNNNNNNNNNNNNNNNNNNNNNNNNNNNNNNNNNNNNNNNNNNNNNNNNNNNNNNNNNNNNNNNNNNNNNNNNNNNNNNNNNNNNNNNNNNNNNNNNNNNNNNNNNNNNNNNNNNNNNNNNNNNNNNNNNNNNNNNNNNNNNNNNNNNNNNNNNNNNNNNNNNNNNNNNNNNNNNNNNNCACAUAUAUAUAUAUAUAUAUAUAUAUAUAUAUAUAUAUAUAUAUAUAUAUAUAUGUAUAUAUAUAUAUAUAUAUAUAUAAACAUAGGUUUUUAUUUUGUUAAUUUUUAAGGAGCUAUUUUUAUCGAAGAAAGAUUUUAAAUAUAUCAAAUUUUAUAAUUUGUUAUUCUCUAUAAAUAGACAUCAAUAUUGAUAUAGUUUUAAAAGAUAAUAAUUUUUUUUAAUUGUUUCACCUCUCGUUAUUUAUAAUAAAUAAAAAGUACAUCAUAUUUUUAUUACAGUACAUUCGUUAUUCACUUAUAAAUAAAAAGUUUGUUUAAUAUUUUUUUAAAGUUUAAGUAUCAUUCAUAUAUGAAUAUAACAUAUAAUAAACUAUUUACAAUUUAUUUCAUCUCUCGUCACAUGUUAUAUUCACAUAUGAAUAUUAUAUUCAUCACAAUUUUAUUACAGUUUAUUUGUUAUUCACAUAUGAAUAAGUAGUUCGAAUUUUUUAAACACUUUGUCUUUUAUUAAUAUACUACUUAUUCAUAUAUGAAUAACAAUUGAAUUGUAACAAAAAUCUGAUAAAUGUUUUAUUCAUAUAUGAAUAUAACGUAGGACAAUGCUAAUUAAUACACGUUUUAUUCGUAUAUAAAUAUAACAUGUGACGAAAAAUGAUGUAAAAAAUAUAAUUUUGAUAAGAAAACUUUAUUACGUAUUAUUCAUAUAUGAAUGACACUUAAACUGUAAAAAAUUUAGGCAUAUAUUUUAUUCAUGCAUGAAUAGUGAAUGUACUGUAAUAAAAAUCUGAUAAAUUUUUAUUUAUUUAUGAAUAACAAGAGUUGAAACUUAAAAGAAUAAAAAAUUUAUUUUAUCUUAAAACUACAUCGAUAUGCAUGUCUAUUUAUAAAGAAAACAAAUUAUGAACUUUGAUAUAUUUGUAAUAAUUUCUUGAUAAAAAUAUCUUCAUAAAUUUUUUUUUGAAUAUAUUAAGGUAAUGAUUAACAUAGUUUAAGGAAACAUGUUCGGUUUGAAAAUACAUGUAUAUCCCAUGCCCAUUUCCGACGAUAAGCCAAGUGUUUUUGCGACAAAAUAAAUAUGUAGUUGAGAUUGAUUCCCUAUUUUUAAGUUUUUUUUCAAUUGAACUCACCUUUCUUUCUCUCUCUCUCCAUAUAUAUAUAUAUNUUGACAUUUAAAUAAUUAAUAUUCAAAACAAUUAAGAUUAAUAAUAUUUUAUAAAUUAACAUUAUUGUAAUUAGGCUAUUAAUUAAAUAAUAUUAAUUCCUUUAUAACUUCCUUGAUUUUUGAAUUAGGUUUUAUAUAAUUAGAUAAUUAAAUGUUCAAAUUUUAAAGGAUUAAGAUAACAAGUAAUUAUCAAGUAAUGAUCCNNNNNNNNNNNNNNNNNUAUAUAUAUAUUAACAUAUAAUAGAAAGAACCCUAGGCUCUGAUACCACUAAUGAGUUUUCUAGGUUACAAAAUAAUUAAUUUCACAUCGGAAACAUCACAAAAUAUAAUGUGUGGGCACAUGCAACCUAGAGAUCUACGUCUUUUCUCAUUAUAGCAAUAUAUUGAUGAAACAAUCAUAUAAACUAGGUAUAAUCGAAAUCAAUGGAUUGGUGAUGUAAUAAUUUCUUGUAUCAAAUUAUAUAUAAAGUUUCACUUAUUUCACCAAAAUCAUUACACAAUUAGGCAAGUGUACCUAUUCGUUUUGUAUGUGUUGAAGACUCUGUAUGUGUUGAUAGAUCUAUAUGGGAAGGUGGCUUGAGUAUGUUGUGAUGCAAUAGCAACCAGUAGGUCUGGCCCCGGGUAUUGAUUAUGUUAGUAAAAGGUGGUGUAUGGACUUCGAUAGUCCUUGUGAUCAUAUUCAGAGUAUAUGCGAUGCAUGGAAUAGCGGUUACUCUACAAGGUAUAGUGUAGAGUGGGGUGUGAGCACCGUGGCACUUGUUGUUAUGGCAAGGUGUUCAAGUAGACUUCCUUGGAUAAGGAAAAGGAAAGGUAUGUAACUCCGGGAAGGAGUGUUGGUUCACGAAAGUGAAUGCAGUAGUGAGAAUGGAUGAUUGAGAGUAUUUCAAUUAUGGUUGUUGAGCACUGUAAUUGUGCCUGUGGUAUGGAAGCACAUCCGGUUUGGGUGUCUAUUGAGGUUGCGGAAGAAUUUCCGGUGGUGUAGAACCAGAGGAGUCCGGAAGGGAUGCAAGGAUGGAGCCUUGGAUUUUCAGUAUGGUUGUGAUCAGGAGGUUAUGUAUGUAGCGGUAAUUCAUCCUGGGGAUGUCUGGAGGUAUCGUCAGUGAGUCGGGUUUUUCCAGCCCGAGGGUAUUGGAUCAGGUGCAAUAUGAGUAUGGAAGUGUAGAUGAGAGCUCAUGGGAGCUGCUCAAAAGCUGUAGGAUGUAUUAUCUUGACAGCACAGGAAGGAAAGAGUUGGAUCAGAAAGGAAGCGGGAUGAGUCCUAGCGGAGAUUUCGAGAGAGGUAACGCCAGUUGAGGAAAGGGAUAGUAGUUUGGUACCAGGUCAGGACCCGGUGGUACAUGGUGAUAUCCAACUCUGUAAGGGGCAAGUGAGUGGGUAAGUUGGAAUGAUGGAAGUAUCAUCGGGUGAUACUUAGUUGAUGUGGACAUCAUUAAAGAGAGAAAUCGGUGGCUGGUUUGAAGUAGUUGUUGUGACUCUGUGGGGGGAGAGUUGGACUUCAUAGGGUUUGAUAGCAUCGUUUGGAGGAACCUGAGUUGGUUGAGACUAGGAGCUGUAUUGUGGGAGUAUCAUCUGGGGUGUGUUGCUGCAGGCUUCGAGGACGAAGCCUAAUUUAAGUGGGGGAGACUUGUAACACCCCAAGUUCAGAAGUGCAAGUUCAGGGUUCUUAGUGUAAAUAAGGAAGGUCGACUCGGCGAGUCGAUGGAUAGACUCGGUGAGUCGAGUCGCGAUUCAAGUCAUAUGUUAAGUGGCCAAAUUGGCAAGUCGAAAGUGGACUCGGCUAGUUGGUGUUGAAGGGACAAAACCCUAAUUUCGGGAGUUGUGCCCUAUAUAAAGCACAUUAUAGCCACCCUUAGCCUCUUUACUGCUCAUUUGAGUUCCAGAAACCCUAAUUAGUGUGUGUGAGCCUCCAUUGUUAAAGUUUGAGCUUGGAAGAAGAAUUUAAGAGGAGAAAGUUAGAAGAUCAAGAGGCUAGCAUCGGGGGAUCAUUGUAAAUCCAAAAUCUACUCCUUCUUGGGCACAUUUCUGAGGUAACAGGUCGUUACCUUGAGUUUUCUCCUUCUUGAUCCAUUCUUGGUUGUUGUUUUAGCUUGAUUGGAAUCCAUUUCGGGUUUAGAGGUUAGAUCUGAAGUUGCAACUUUUGCAAUAGGUUAAUAGUGANCCAUGGAAGCUUAAAGCAUCAGCCAUGGGGCUUGAUUUAGAGUAUCUUUGUCCCAAAACCUCCUUGUAGCUUGAUUGGAGCUUAUUGAGCCUUGCAUGCACGUAAAGUUGGAAACUUUACGUGUGAAUCUAGCCCUAGGAGUCCAGAUCUAUGUAUUGGAAGCAAUGAAAUGGCAUGUAAUCGUCUGAAUGAAGAUGUCACGUUUGGACUCGAUGAGUUGGAAGAACAACUCGGCGAGUCUGUUGAAGAUUGCCUUGGACUCGGGGGGUCUGUUCUUGGACUCGACGAGUCUGGUUGUGGAACCCUAACCUUUUCUGGUUAAGCCUCGAAUCGGUGAGUCGAGGCACGACUCGGUAAGUUAAUCAUGAUGGGUCUCUGAGAUUGUUGGACUCGACGAGUCUUGGGGCGACUCGGUGAAUUGAUUCGUAUUAUGGGAGUUUCUGAGUAAAGGAACUCGACGAGUAGGGUCAACCAGGAAGGUUGACUUUGACUGAGGACUUUAACCUGGACCAAGGGUUGACCAGUUUGACUUCCAAGGGUAUUUUGGUAAUUUGGUGUUUAUUGGUUUUGGUUAUUUGGUAAUGAUCAGUGGUGGAGUUCGUGCUGGUGGUCAGAGCAACGUGGUCUUAUUUCUUCAAGUCGGCAGUUGCAGGUGAGUUAUCCUCACUAUAUCAACAGGGUCUAAGGCACCAAGGUCGGCCCUUUAUCGGAUGGAAAUCCGGGUGGUUGUUGUUAUUUUAUUGCUUUGCUAUGUCUGAAUCAUGGUAGUUAGGAUGGUAUAUGUUAGAGACCCGAUUAGGUCGGUAUCCUGGUUAGGAUGUUGCUAUGUUAUGUGAUAUGAUGGAUCGGUUUGAUUCGUUGUGUGAUGUUAUAUGAUUAUAUGUUUAUGUACACAUGGUUGUUGGACUGGGCUGGGUUGAGGCAGGUCCUGCUUUGUGUUGUAGGCCAGCAUACCCAGGGCAGAUCGGUUAGACCGAAGGCCCGGCGAGCGGUCCAGAUAAGUUGAAGUCCCUAUGAGGGCGGACCAGAUGUGCCGAGGCUCAGAGAGUGGACCAGACAGACUGAAGGCCCGGUGCGGACGGGCCAGUCAUACUGUAGACUCAGAGAGUGGACCAAGUGGACUGAAGACCCGGUGUGGGCGGACCAGUCAUACUGUAGACUCGGAGAGAGAGUGGACCGGGUGGACUGAAGGCCUGGUGACUUGAUAUGCGUGGUUGUUCUGUUUAUGAUAUGAUAUGAUAUGUGUAUGGUAUUGUGGUUGGUAUUUUGGGGGUAACUCACUAAGCUUUCGGGCUUACAGUUUCAGUGUAUUGUUUCAGGUACUUCAGGAGACCGUGGCAAGGCGAAGGCGUGAUCGUACCGCUCCUCAGUUUUAUGUUGAUGUCCUGGGAUACUUUGAUAAUAAAUGAACUUAAAACCUUUUUGUAAAAACUUGAUGGAUAUGGGUUGUUUUUGAAAAGCUUAAAUUGGUUGUAAAUUUUCACGGUGUUACAAGUUGGUAUUAGAGCCUUGGUUUGAGUGAAUUGGAGGAACAUUCGUGUGAAUCCAAUCUCAAAUCAAGGAGGGAUUUUCAAAAUGGUUUUCAAAAGGUUUUUCGAAAUAAGUAAAGGAGGAUGCAGGGGGUACGAUCAGCCGGAGCCAGUAAGUAGACCCCAGAAUACCAUACAAGCUGUUUGAUUAUGUGAUAUGUUAGAACAACAUGCUAGUACUAGGCUAGGGAUCUUCGGGAAUUGCAUGAUAGAAUUGUCUGAUUAUAUAGUGCCUGCUAGCCUAGGUUUUCCUUUGUAUGAAAUUGACAUCAUUAUUGUAGUUAUUUAGUGUAUGCAUCAUGGUUGUACAUAAUUAAGAUCUUAUAGCCCGAGAAUGCUUGAUUUGGCCUUAUGUUCUGUUCUUGUAUGAUUGGGAGCUUAGGGUAGGAUUAGAUAUUCGAAAGUCUAUAGGGUCCAGCGUUAUGUAUGACUAGCAUACACUAGUGCUGCAGGGUUGGUGGAAGUUUCAUGGAUGGAAGGGUUGCAUGGGACUAGUAGGUUGGUUAUGGGAUAGUGGUGCUCCUCUAGGAGUCGAGUGUUCGUUAUGUAUAUGCUAUUGUUAGGGUGUUGUGGUGAUACUUGAUACAAAUAUGGGUAGGUGUGGAAGGUAGUAUGGGACCGUACUACUGAAAGCACAGGACCCGUACACGUAUGAAGGAAGUCACAACCCCUAGGGUUUUGUUGGGAGCUAGUUCUUGGGAUUAUUAUGAGGAAUGCCUAAUAUUCUUGGGGCGUAUUUUCAUUAUGGCGAUUACGAGACGUCUCGGGGUAGGAUCCAGUUCGGGAUCGUGUUCAGGAGAGGGUGGUCAGGAUGGACCAGUACUACCUGAGGACAUUGGUCAGAUGAGCACGAAUGAGUUGGAUGCUAGGAUUCGUGAGAUCCUGCAUGAUGAGGUUGCUGCUAUGUUCCGGGCCGAGUUGCCGGAGAUGUUUGGGUCGGUCAAGACUGUCAUGGUUGAGUACUUUGAUGAGCGUUAUGCAACUCUUGCGGAGGUGGCUGUCGCGGCAGCUACAACGGCUGUAUCAGCGGCAGGGGGAGGAAUCGAUCGAGGUUUUCAGUAUCGGGACUUCGAUAAUACGAAGCCCCCUACUUUUGAUGGCGUUCAGGAUCUGAUCGUUGCUAUGAGAUGGUUCUCAGACGUUGAGGGCUAUUUCUUCACGUGUUGAUGUCCUACGGAUCAGAGGGUGAGGUGUGCUUUGAACCUUUUGAGGCUCGGGGUGAAGGAUUGGUGGAGGUUGACCACGGGAUCUUAAUCGGAUGCGCAACGGGCUGCGAUUUCUUGGGAUCAGUUUCGGGAGAUGUUCAGUACCCGUUAUGUUCCACGAGUUGAGAGAGGGAGGUUGGCUCAGGAGUUCUUGGAGUUGAAGCAGGAUUCAGAGUUGGUGACGGAGAUCACCAGGAUGUUCACUGAGAGGGCGAUGUUUUGCCCUGAGUUUGCUUCAGAGCAAGCUCAGAUGUCCCGAUAUCUGAGUAUGCUCAAGAGGGAUAUUAGACAGUUUGUGUCUAUGCAGAGGUGCGACUUUGUUGGAGUUGCAGGAGGCCGCUCGGCAGCGUGAGUUGGAGAUUGAGUUGUAGUAAAAACAUUAAAACAAAACAAAGUAUCAUCCAUAUGAUUGAAAACAAGCUUCUCAAAUAUAUUCUGACUUCUAAGGAUUCUUGUAAGCUUCUCAUGUCGUUCUUCUAUGAAUUAGGGUUGUACCUCUCUAAAAAAUUCCGCCAUUGGCCUUAUAAUGUGUCCUUUAUAUAGAAGAAAUUUUUUCCAAAAACUAGCCACCUCGUCAUGGCCAAAUGUGUGCCACACCAUGGGCAACGUUUCCUAAUCGUAGUCGGCAAGGAAAUUUUCUUUGAACGAGAAUAUUCUUGGCGCCACGGUGUGGGAAAGUGCUUAACACGCCACGGCUGUACUCCAGGAACACGGUUUUGAAGCUUCUUUUCUUCUUAAGUCAUAUUCCAACCUUCAACUUCCUGCUUUGUACAGUUUUGAUCCUUUUCUAAAAAAAAUGCCUUCUUUUUACUACAAAAAUAGAACUAUACUCAUAAGUACCAAAUAUCUUUGUAUUUACCCAAAUUAUAGCUCAAAGUGCAUUAAAAUACUACAUAAAUAAAUGUGUGUGUGUGUGUGUAUAUAUAUAUAUAUANNNNNNNNNNNNNNNNNNNNNNNNNNNNNNNNNNNNNNNNNNNNNNNNNNNNNNNNNNNNNNNNNNNNNNUAUAUAUAUAUAUAUAUGGUAAUAUCAAAAUACCCACACUUGUCUUUUGAUUGUUUCCAUUUAAAACUUAUUUCAACACAUCAUAGCCAAAACAUCGCUCACCAAUAUUGUAGAAAACAAUCCAAUUUGAACCCGCUGAUUACGCCUUGUCUCAAUGCAUGUAUUUGUGUCUAAGGAAAUCCUAAAUACUUUCCAUGCCCUAAAUACUCACAAUCUUCAUAAACGCCUCUUACUUAAUGUGAAUAACAUUCCUUUUAUGCAUCCCUCCGAAUAUAUCAUCAGAAAACUUUCUUGACCUCUAGGUAAAUUUUGGCUAAUUUCUCAAGCAUACAUUGGUAAAAUAACCUAGAAAGGAAAAUUACAACUUUGAAUAAUACGCCUUCGACUUUUGGAAAUUUUCCUUAUUGUUCACUUUCUUCAACUUGAAUCUUAGAUAUUUAUAAUUGUUGAACUUUUCUUCAUAAUUCUUGAUCUUCACACUUUGUAAGUUCUUAUUCACUCAACAGACUUUGGCAACUUUUUUUUGUCACAACUCACUUUUUUCACUCAAAUCUAAAAACCUAAAAUAAAAACAUAUGCUUAAGCAAGGGAACUUAACUAGAAGUCUCAAAAAUUAUAAGUGAAUUUUUUUUCAUUUUAAUUAGUCAAACAACCAUUCAUUCAUAAAAAAAUUCCAUUAGAGUAUAAAACAUGUCAUAUAAUCAUCUGAAUACAAAACGAACUCAUAAUAUGGUUAACACUGGUAGAUACGGCGCGAUCAUGUCGGGCCCUUCCCCUUCAAACCAGAAGUACAUAAGAUCAUAAACAUAGAACUGUAAGCACAAUGCUUAGUGAGUUUCCCUAAAAUACCCCAUAAUAAACAUACAUAAUAACAUGAAGAGAAAAUGAGUCUAUUUAACCCCCUAUUCCAUUUCGACUCCUUCAGUAUCUUUCAACCAGUACGGGUCUAUUUCACUCCGAGUCUAUUUCUAUUUUCAACUCCUUCAUUCUUUUUCAACUUGUACUGGUCUAUUUCACCCUGAGUCUAUUUCAACUCCUUUGAUAUCUUUCAACCGGUACGGGUCUAUUUCACCCCUAUAUCUAAGUAUACAAUCAUAUCAGCAAGAGUCACAAACACAACAAGCACAUACAGGCAUAACAACAAGUGUCACAAAGAAAUUUAUCAUCCUACAACCAUAAUCUAGUGGGCCAACAUUGGUGCCUUCGACCCACAAGUAAAGUGAAUAGAUUCACCUCUCUGUCGAUACUCAGCUGCUGCUGCUCUCACUGCUAGAAAUACUGAGGCUACGUACCAUCCAUACCAUUACACAAGGUAAACCCCCAGCUAUUCUUCCAAAACUAGGAAUUUGACCAAAAAUCAACUCAUGUCAAAAGUCAACGGUCAACGUUGUCUUUAGUCAAUCGCCAUGCAGUGGCUGUAACGACCCAAUUUUCACGUCCAAAAAUUUCGUUUUUUUUUAAACAUUGCUUAGAAACAUUAAUAAUUAAAACAUUGUUUAAUUAAACCAUUUCACAUCGAAAACCAAACUUGAAAUCCACAACAUUCAAACAACCAAAAUAUCAUAGUAUCAAUCCCAGAAUAAACUCAUAACUGCGGAAACAAGAGUGUGUGUGAUAUGCCGCUACCGCGCCGGCUCCUUUCCCCUAGCUGAAGAGGUACCUGAAACAACAACUAAAACGUAAGCAUAAAGCUUAGUGAGUUCCCCCAUCGUACCACAUACCAUACAACACAUAUCAUACAUACUGUCAGGCUAUGCUGGGGUGCCUGACUACCCGGUCCGGCCAUUCUGGGGUGCCGACUACCCGUGCGGCCAUUCUGGGGUGCCGUCUACCCGUGCGGCCAUUCUGGGGUGCCGACUACCUGUGUCAAGCCAUUCUGUGGUGCUGACUACCCUUUAGUCCUAACGACCGAACCUCGGGGACUAUUUCACCCCUACUACUACUAUCACAUAUCAUAACAUAACAUAUUAUCAGACAUAUCUGGGGUGUCCGAUCUACCCUUCGGUCCUAACGACCGAACUUGGGGACUAUUCCCCUCCUACUACCACUAUCACAUAUAACAUAUCAUGCCAGCAUAUAAACAUAUCAUCACAUACUGUCAGACAUAUCUGGGGUGUCUGACCUACCCUUCGGUCCUAACAACCGAACUCUACUACUAUCACAUAUAACAUAUCAUGCCAGCAUAUAACAUAUCAGGUAGUAGCAAACCUAGAUGAUAUCACAAAGACAAUCAUCUAACAUACAACUCCUACUGGUGGGCCGGCAUUGUGGCCGUAGACCCACCGCUACUGGAAGGUAACUCACCUCGAAGUAGCUGCUGAUCUGAUCGGGAACUGACUGCCUACUGCUGCUGCUGCUGCUCCGGAAAUCCUCCGGCUGCAAUUCCCACAACAUACUCAAUCAAUUACUGAUAACAGUCCUUUGGGUAAAAUGACCAUUUUACCCCUGAUCAUGUCAUAAGUCAAGGUCAAAGUCAACUUUCAGUUGACCCGACUCGCCGAGUUGGCUCUCCAACUCGCCGAGUCCCUAUCCAAUCGAUUGUCCUGAAUCCCGUCUCUACUCGUCGAGUUAGGCGUUGACUCGACGAGUUCUCCUUCUAAACUGAUGUUCAAGUCCUUCAUCCUACUCGCCGAG
rnacentral:lncRNA from 1 species